CUCUCUCUCUAGGAUUGGCUCCAAAGUGUGGAGUUUGGUAGAGAAAAACUUACUUAGAGGUGAAGCUUUCUUUUUCUUUAUCAUUGGCUUGGAGAGCUUGGGUUUGAGAGGUAAGCUUUGAUAGCAACAAUGGUAGAUUGCUAAAUAGAUGGUUGAUGCUUUAUCAUUGGCUUGGAGAGCUUGGCUUUGAGAGGUAAGCUUUCUUUUUCUUUAUCAUUGGCUUGGAGAGCUUGGGUUUGAGAGGUAAGCUUUGAUAGCAACAAUGGUACAAAUAGGAGUUUCACUAAACCCAUUUGUAUGCCUUAGAAAUGGGUUUAGUGAAACUCCUAGAUGCUAAAUAGAUGGUUGAUGCUCGAAUUUAGAGAUCAAAUGAUGAAUUAUUGCAUAGUUGCAUCUUAGAACAUCAAAAGAGGGGUUUUGCUUGUGAGGGGUUUUGAUCUAAAUUGAUUAUGUAUAAACCUAAUUGCUAGGUUUUCUGACGCGUUGGCGAAGUCGGUUCGGCGAUACGACGAGGCUACGUGAAGAUAUUAAAGAACAAAGUCGUUAAGGUACAGAUUGCCGCAGCUCGUGGCGAAAGCUUCCAAAAAUCACGAAAUCGGAACCCUAGCCUCGUGAUAGCGAUAAAAGGUGGGGGGUGUCCAUCUCGAAGCAACUGGGCUUCCUUCUAUGUCCGAGUUAGAUUUUUGGUCAUAUUGCACAUAUUAUUCUUAUGCAUUAUAGGAUGUAUGUAUAAUUGCAUUUCUAUUUCCUUGCAUGCAUGUCUAGUUGUGUAGCAUUAUGGACUUGACACUUAAAUCUAGAAUGCAUGAGGAUUAGGGUUUGUGACAUGAGAUCCUAUAGUGAUAAGAAAACGGUGAACUCGGACUUGAUGAUGAAAACUGGUGACAUGCGAACUAGUGUAUAGAAAACACUAUGACUUGGACGAGUAGCAUGUAAACAAUGAUAACAACAUGACGAGUGGCAUUGGAACUUAGUGUAAUAGAAACACUUGUGACAUUGAGCAUAGGGAAUAGGUGAGUUUCCCUAGUCAUGGCAUAUUGCAUGAGAACUAGUGUAAUUGAGACACUAUGGCAUCAAACAUAGGGAUAGUUCAAUUCCCUAGUGUGAGUUGAUUAGUGUGGUUGAGACACUUGACAUGAACCUAGGGAUAGGUGGAUUUUCAAGUGUUUGUUAACCUAGUUGACAGGGUAUCCUCAGUUGGUGAGGAUUGGAUCAUACUCACAAGUCUGUUUUGAGCUUGUGGUGGUCGCUCCACACAAGCAGUGCACUCCGGAGUUGUCACACGAGCUGGGUAGCUCACGAGCGGGGUAGCUCACUGGGUGGGAUACGAGCGGGGUAGCUCCUCACCCAUUGCCGAAGUUGUCACACGAGCGGGGUAGCUCAUGAGCGGGGUAGCUCAUCGGGUGGGAUACGAGCGGGGUAGCUCCUCACCCAUUGGACUGGGACGUGAGUUGGGGCGAAGGGCGGGGUAGCUUUUCCCCUAUGAGAUUGAGCGGGGCAGCUCAAUAUCUAUGAGAUUAGAGCGGGGUAGCUCUUCAUCUAUUACCUUUGAGAUGUGAGACGGGUGAGAUAAGAGCGGGGUAGCUCCUCACCUAUGAGAUUUGAGAUAUCAGUCAGGGCGAAGAGCGGGGUAGCUCUUCACCUCUUCAUCUACUAGAUUGUGGUGAGUACCUAUGAGAUUUGAGAUCUUAGGCAGGGUAGCCUAGUGGAUUGGGUAAUGAUAUGAAUAGCAUAAGUGGAUUUGCAUUCAUCCUCUGAUUAGACAUAGUAUAUGUUAGUGGAUUGCAUAACUAUGUUGUAUUUGUUUUCAUUACAUUGUUGAAGCAUAUUAUCAUGAUAGUAGGCUUAUUGCUAGACGAUAUUUCAUGCAUUGCUUGCAUUUGAUGGCACAAUAGAUCAUAGUUGCAGUUCAAUAUCUAUCUAUCUAUUUGUGCCAGCUUAGACCUAGUGGGAAGAUCGGCGGAGUCGGCGGCCGAACCCACUGGGAACUAUAUUUAUAUAGUUCUCACCCCGUGUGGUUUUGGGGUACAGGUACACACGAGAGCGGACCGGCAAGGCAUCGCGGUAAGGGGGUAGCGCCUUAGCUAGCUAGUUGUGGCUUUCCUUUUGUACUAGAGUACCCUCGUGUACAUAGGUGACGUGGUUGUAUUUUGGAGCAGUACAUUGUACCUAGAUAUAUGUGAGAUGAUUAUGUAUUCAUUUUGGAAGCUUAAAUGUAAUCAAAGAUGUAAAAGUGGAAUGUGAUGUAAUAGCUAGAUGUACUCUUCUUUAUGCACUUGUAUGUAUACUUGUGUUACUUGCUCUUGUUGUAUUGCACUCUUUUGUGCUUCUCUCUCUUGUUGGAUCGUGUAUGUAUGAAUUAUCCCUGGGCAAAUUCUUUGUACAUAUCCUGUGUUGAGCCUUGGCGGACAGGGGAGGUGCUGUCCGUUCGGCGUCCGUCGGCGCGGCCCGAACCGGACCAAAUUGUAGCGGUCUCGGGGCAGGGCGUUGACAGGUAUGGUAUCAGAGCAAGUUAAGAGCAAGUAAAGAGAGAGAGUCUAGGAUUGACCUAGAGGACCUUAGGUUAGGAAAGUAAGGUUAUAGGUGGUGAGUAGAACGUGGCCCUAUACGGUGGCGGGAGUUGAUCGAUUGGGUCGAAGUGAUUGUAUGUCUCUAGUCGUGGCUAGAGAUGGAUUCAAGUGGUAUGAGUUCUUGGCUCGAAGUGGUAGUGUUGGGCGGCCGACAACAACGACGCGAGAGUCUAGAAUCAGUACACUUAUUGCUUCCGCCUAGUUUGCGACGUUGAGUCGCGUAGUUGUGAUCGCGAGCGAGUUGGUGGGUUAAGUUAAUUAACCCGGUUGUUGCGUUGCAGGAACUAAUGUCCCCAAGAUGCUACACGCGCAGAUCUAUUCCGGCACCGUCUUCGGAGGCGCCAGAGCAGGCUGGACCUCCCGAGGCGCCAGAGUUAGCUGGGCCUAGUGAGGUGCAGGAGUUACGGGCACAAGUGACCGCAUUGACCAAUGUGGUGCAGUGCCAGGAGACCCGAUUCGAGCGGCUCCAGGAGCUCUUGGAGCGGCAAAUGGCAACGGUGGCUGCGAUGGCGACUGGAGGUCGUGACCCGCCCGCACCCCCGGUGCACGCGCCUGUUGUGGCUGAGGGUGAUGGUGUAGUGCCUGUUGGAGCAGGUAGAGAGCUAGAUAGCACUAGCAAAAUACUGGUGAUGAUUGUUGGACGAGAAGUGAGACUCGUGGUAGGGCGAUCGGUUAGUGUUCGAGCAUGAGCACGUAGGCCUAGUAGUACCUCGAAGUGAGGUGGGUGAGUCGUGCUCGUGUGGCCGGUGCGCAUAGGCAGGGUUGCCUAAUGUCGGAAUUAGUGUACGACGCGUAGAGCGCUCGAAUAUAGGUACUCGUGAAGUACGAUGUUGACUCAGCCGGGAGAGUGUGUAGGCAGUAGCACUGUAGCAUUACUAAGUGUGAAGCGUGCCUGGGAUCACUCAUAGGGCUGAUGGCUCGCAUUAGGUGCUUAGGAGCCAAUAGUGAUAUGUGUUGCUCGGGUGAGCAUGUCGUGGGAGACAACGGUUGCGGGUAUAGCUUGAGGAUGAUCCAUGCCCGGACCAUUCGUGGACUAUGGAACCUGGGUCCCUAUGAACAGGCGCAGUCAGCUGUGGGUGGCAGCGGCCCGGGGUAGGGCAGAGAUUUGGUCAGGACGGUAGUCCGAGCUUAGACCCGAAAGCGUGGAAUGCCACGUGUUAGAUCGUGUAAUCAUGGAUGCACUAAGAGUGCAAUGGUGACCCAACCCGAGGAUUUAGAGUGGUUUGGGGUCUUGAUUGCUCCUGGUUGGAGUAUGUGCGAAUUCCCAAAUGAGAAGUUCGCCUGGUUAUGAUGGGGUCUGCGCUUGCGAGCGAGAGACGCUACGUGUUGAGAUAGGUUUAGGCGGUAGACCUGCGUAGAAUUGGUGAACUGUGGUUCGUCUAUGAGAUUGAGAUAAACGGUAGGCGAGUAGCCUUGUCGACGAGUUUAGGCUUGGAUUCACGAACAGGAGUUCGUGUGAGGUUAUAACAAGAGUGGUUCUUCCCACGGUGGUAAUGCACUUUUGGAGUUACACUUAGCAAAUGUGAGUGAAUUUGGUCUCACAUCCUCCGUAGUGGGCCUUGGAUGAUUUCAAUGAAUGAAAGCCCACUCUAAGAAGGAAAAGUGCAUUGGAAUCCCCGAUUGCUCGAUAAAUCGAGUUGGAAUGUGAUUGGGGUUGAAAUUUGGUUAGUUUCGAGGACGAAACUCUUUUUAAGAAGGAGAGGAUGUAAGGUACCGAACUUCUAAAAUUAUGAAGUUACGGCGGAUGUAGUAUGCUGGAUUUUUAAUAUAAAAAUAAAUAUAAAUAAAAAUAGUGUGAGAUACUAUUUUUAUUGGAUUUAAGGGUGUAAAGUAUAAGUUGGAAAUGACCUGUGCUGAAAUCGGGGCGAAAACAAAAGAUUUAGAAUUUUCUGUGACAGACGGGGCAGAUAAAUUAGCAGAAAAUGCAGAGUGUCAGAAAAUUAUGAAAACUGGAGGAUAUGUCAGAAUUAUUUUUAUAAGGCUAGAUUUAAAGUUUCAUACCAUUCUGACACCCGGAAAAUGGAAAAUAAAAUCCGACUGCUAUCUGAUAAAGAUUACAGUUCGGUACAGCUUUCGGUGACAAACAUAGUCGAAACUGAAAGAUUAAAAUUUACAGGUACACACGAGAGCGGACCGGCAGGUGAUCGCGGUAAGGGCGUAGCGCCCUAGCUAGCUAGUUGUGGCUUUCCUUUUGUACUAGAGUACCCUCGUGUACAUAGGUGACAUGGUUGUGUUUUGGAGAGUACAUUGUACCUAGAUGCAUGUGAGUGGAAUAUGUAUUCAUUUUGGGUGAUGAUGAAAAUGUAAAUGUAAUCAAAGAUGUAAAAGUGGAAUGUGAUGUAAUAGCUAGAUGUAUCUCUCUUUAUGCACUUGUAUGUAUACUUGUGUUACUUGCUCUUGUUGUAUUGCACUCUUUGUGCUUCUCUCCUUGUUGGAUCAUGUAUGUAUUGAAUUAUCCCUGGGCAAAUUCUUUGUACAUGAUCCUGUGUUGAGCCUUGGGCGGAUAGGGGAGGUGCUGUCCGUUCGGCGUCCGUCCGGCGCGCCUGAACCGGACCAAAUUGGUAGCGGUCUCGGGGCGGGGCGUGACAGGUAUGGUAUCAGAGCAAGUUAAGUGCAAGUAAAUAGAGAGAGUCUAGGAUUGACCUAGAGGACCUUAGGUUGGGAAACCGUAAGGUUAUAGGUGCGUGAGUGGAACGUGGACCUAUACGGUGGCGGGAGUUGAUCGAUUGGGUCGAAGUGAUUGUAUGUCUCUAGUCGUGGCUAGAGAUGGAUUCAAGUGGUAUGAGUUCUUGGCUCGAAGUGGUAGUGUUGGGCGGCCGACAACACGACGCCGAGAGUCUAGAAUUAGUACACUUACGUGCUUCCGCCUAGUUUGCGACGUUGAGUCGCGUAGUUGUGAUCGCGAGCGAGUUGGUGGGUUAAGUUAAUUAACCCGGUUGUUGCGUUGCAGGAACUAAUGUCCCCAAGACACUACACUCGCAGAUCUAUUCCGGCACCGUCUUCGGAGGCGCCAGAGCUUGCUGGACCUCCCGAGGUGCCAGAGUCAGCUGGGCCUAGUGAGGUGCAGGAGUUACGGGCGCAAGUGACCGCAUUGACCAAUGUGGUGCAGUGCCAGGAGACCUGAUUCGAGCGGCUCCAAGAGCUCUUGGAGCGGCAAAUGGCAGUGGUGGCUGCGAUGGCGACCGGAGGUUGUGACCCGCCCGCACCCCCGGUGCACGUGCCUGAUGUGGCUGAGGGUGAGGGUAUAGCGGCGAUUCCGGUGGCGGCACGUCCCUCGCCGGCAAUUGUUCCUCCGGCAGCGUCGGGAUCGGCGACACCCGAUGCGGCGGCCGAGGAGAUGGAGCGAGAGCGUUCGUUGACGGCUCUUAUCAGAUUCAAGAAGUUCAACCCACCAAUCUUUGAAGGGGAGAAAGUGGAGCCGUCGAUGGUGGAGUCAUGGAUUGACUCAAUGGAGAUACUUUUUUAGGAUCUCUAUACCUCGGAGAAAGACAGGGUGUAUCUCGCCACCCAUUGCCUUGGGAAAGCAGCGAAGGUGUGGUGGAAAUAGGUGAAGCGAGAUCGGCCUUCUGACCUUCCACAUAUGUUAUGGGAGGAGUUUAAGAGGGCGAUGUUCGCCAACUAUUUUUUCGACACGAUGAAGCGAAAACUGCAGGAGAAGUUUCGCAAGUUGAGGCAGGGGGAUCGCUCGGUAGCGGACUACGAGCAAGAGUUCUCCCACAUCAUAGAUUGUGUCCCGGAGGUUGUUCGAGAUGACCGGGACCGGGCCGACUGGUUCUUGCGAGGACUUCGGCCGGGGAUUUAUAAGGCCGUGCAAAUAUUCAAGCUCACUACCUUUGCUGAGGUUUUUGAUUGAGCAUUGUGGGCGGAGCAUGGCGAUGCCCACGUGCGAGAAGAACGAGAGGCGUCCGAGAAGGAUAAGGCGAAGAAACGGCCUGGCGGUAGCUCGGGGGGACAGUCAAGUUCUAAGAAGCCCCCGAAGUACCCGAGGAGGCAGUUUGAGAGCCAGGGACCUAUGCGAUGUGUGAUUUGCGGUGGGAGCAUCGCGUAGGAAACUGUGAGCAUAGGGCGGGACGAUGCUUCAGGUGUGGUCAGGCGGGGCAUAUUAGCCGUCAGUGCCUAGAAGGAUCGUCGCCUGCACCGUCUAUUGCAUCCGCCCCAGUGACUCCGGGGCAGUCGGGUGGAGUUCCGCCUGCUACAGUAUCGACGGGACGUGGGAUGGCGCCGCAACGGCUUGAGGCGACCCGGUCGGCUCCGAGUAGUCGAGUGUUUGCCGCUCAAGCGGAGCGACCUACUGGGGUAGAGGAGUGUGACACCAUGCCAGGUAUGAUUUAAUUAAAGUAAUCAUACGCUUCUGCAUGAUGUAGACUUAAGAAAUUACAUGCAUUUACCUUGUGGUCGUUCGCUACUAUUUGUGCAUUGGUAUUGUAGGGACCAAGUGAACGGGUUGGUGUAGAUUCCCGAGCAUGCUUAUGUGGUGAGAGUGUAGCGCCUGCUGGAGCAAGUAGAGAGCUAGAUAGCACUAGCAAAAUGCUGGUGAUGAUUGUUGGACGAAACGUGAGACUCGUGGUAGAGCGAUUGUUUAGUGUUCGAGCAUGAGCACGUGGGCCUAGUAGUACCUCGAAGUGAGGUGGGUGAGUCGUGCUCGUGUGGCCGGUGCGCAUAGGCAGGGUUGCCUAAUGUCGGAAUUAGUGUACGGCGCGUAGAGCGCUCGAGUAUAGGUACUCGUGAAGUACGGUGUUGACUCAGCCGGGAGAGUGUGUAGGCAGUAGCACUGUAGCAUUACUAAGUGUGAAGCGCGCCUGGGAUCACUCGUGGGGCUGAUGGCUCGCAUUAGGUGCUUAUGAGCCAAUAGUGAUAUAUGUUGCUCGGGUGAGCAUGUCGUGGGGGACGACGGUUGCGGGUAUAGCUUGAGGAUGAUCCGUGCCUGGACCAUUCGUGGACUGUGGAACCUGGGUCCCUAUGAACAGGCGCAGUCAGCUGUGGGUGGCAGCGGCCCGGGGUAGGGCAGAGAUUUGGUCAGGACGGUAGUCCGAGCUUAGACCCGAGAGCGUGGAAUGCCAUGUGUUAGAUCGUGUGAUCAUGGAUGCACUAAGAGUGCAAUGGUGACCCAACCCAAGGAUUUAGAGUGGUUUGGGGUCUUGAUUGCUCCUGAUUGGAGUGUGUGCGAAUUCCCAAGUGAGAAUUUUGCCUAGUUAUGAUUGGGUCUGCGCUUCCGAGCGAGAGACGCUACGUGUUGAGACGGGUUUAGGCAGUAGACCUGCGUAGGAUUGGUGAACUGUGGUUCGUCUAUGAGAUUGAGAUAAACAGUAGGCGAGUAGCCUUAUCGACGAGUUUAGGCUUGGAUUCACGAACAGGAGUUCGUGUGAGGUUAUUACAAGAGUGGUUCUUCCCAUGGUGGUAAUGCACUUUCGGAGUUACACCAAGCAAAUGUGAGUGAAUUUGGUCUCACAUCCUCCGUAGUGGGCCUUGGAUAAUUUCAAUGAAUGAAAGCCCACUUUAAAAAGGAAAAGUGCAUUGGACUCGAUAAAUCGAGUUGGAAUGUGAUUGGGGUUGAAAUUUGAUUAGUUUCGAGGACGAAACUCUUUUUAAGGAGGGGAGGAUGUAAGGUACUGAACUUCUGUUGUAAGGUACCGAACUUCUAAAAUUAUGCAGUUACGGUGGACGUAGUAUGCUGGAUUUUAAAUAUAAAAAUAAAUAUAAAUAAAAAUAGUGUGAAAUACUAUUUUAUUGGACUUAUAGACAUAAAAUAUAAGUUUGGAAUGACCCGUGUUGAAAUCGGAGCAAAAACAGAAGAUUUAGAAUUUUCUGUGUGAAACGGGGCAGAUAAAUUAGCAGAAAAUGCAUAGUGUCAGAAAUUCUGAAAACUGGAGGAUAAGCCAGAAUUAUUCUUAUGAGGCUAGAUUUAAAGUUUCAUAUCAUUCUGACACCCGGAAGGCGGAAAAUAAAAUCCGAUAGUGAUCUGAUAAUGAUUACAGUUCGGUACGACUUUCGAUGACCAAACGGGGUCGAAACGGAAAGAUAGAAAUUUUUUUCGUUAAGUUAAGUAAAACCGAACAUGACUGUCAAAUUUGAGCUCAAACGGAUAUUCAGAGGGCUCCGGCGAAAGAUAUCAGAUUUCGAACUGCCUGAAGUGAAUAGUGUAUGCUACUAUUGGGGUGUUGACCAUAAGUAGAAGCUUCUAGUGACUUGGCUUCUUCGUCACAGCCGAGCACCACCCCCACAAGCACAUGUUCAUGGUGGUAGUGAGAGAAAUCCUCACUUUCUCUCUCUAAAUAACUCUUUCAUCUCUCUAGAUAUUUCGCCCAAAUUCGCGGCGUUGGCGGAGAACGAGCUUGCGAACGCGUUGGGAGCGACGUAUCGAGCUUUCGUGCGCCCGUUGGAGCGGCGUGCUUCCGUCUCGGCGUUCACAUUUUGGUAAACUUUUGGGAUUUGNUCAAAGAUGUAAAAGUGGAAUGUGAUGUAAUAGCCAGAUGUAUCUCUCUUUAUGCACUUGUAUGUAUACUUGUGUUACUUGCUCUUGUUGUAUUGCACUCUUUGUGCUUCUCUUCUUGUUGGAUCGUGUAUGUAUUGAAUUAUCCCUGGGCAAAUUCUUUGUACAUGAUCCUGUGUUGAGCCUUGGGCGGACAGGAGAGCUGCUGUCCGUUCGGCGCGCCCGAACCGGACCAAAUUGGUAGCGGUCUUGGGGCGGGGCGUGGCAGAAAUAUUAAGGAUCCAAAUCCAAAAAUAAAGAACAAUAAAGCACUUCUAAGUUUCUUUAAUGACAAAGAUCAUGAUCACAAUCAAUAGAGAUGUGCAUUUGCAUCCAUCAAGAUUAGCCGUAUCUCUAGUUUCGGAUUCGUGUUUGGCAAAUAAACGCUAGAAAAACUAUUUCGCACCACACCAGUAUGAUAUGGGCAACACUGGACCGAACAUUUCUGCACUAUGUUGGUAUGGCAGGGGUACAUCUUAUUCCUUUCAAGACAGCCGCAGCAGUGUCGCACUGCCGCAUGUUACAUGGCACCGUGAGGGCUUUUUUUUUGCUUCAUUUGUUCCUUCUUCUUCUAUUCUUUUCCCACUUCUCACAGCAGUCUCUAUGUUCUCUUGUUUAUGCUCCCUUGUCCAAAAAUGAAAAGAGGUUUCCUCUUCUCAUGUGAGUCGUGAAGACUCAAAAUAUAUGCAUUGGGCAAAGUAGACAUCCAUAUUCUUAUUUAGAUAUAGGAGAAAUCUAGUAUAGCCUAGGAGAGUUUUACAACACCUACGGGUUCCAUGGAAAAUUCAAGCUCUUCCUUCGAAAAUCAUGUUUUUAAGGUUAUUUUCAGAUUUUCUCUACAUUUUUUGAAAUUUUGAGAAGAAAUAUGAAAAUUGGAAGCAAUUGAUGACCAGAACAACUUGAUCUGCUCCUCAUAUAGUACCUCCAUUAAGUAAGCAUGAAAUUUAUCAUUAAACCUUAAGGAAAUAAUGACUUCUCCCAAUUUUUUCUCUGUUUUCUGUGAACCCCAAAAAAGGUCAAAAAUCAAAGUAAUUUAUCUGUUGAUCCAUUUCUACUCAGCAUAUGGUCAGUCUAUAUAUUUCCAUGAAGUCGUCUUGUUAUCUUUCAUGCAAAAUCUAAGAAAUAAUGAUUUUUUUUCCCUUAAGUCCUUCCUUAUGUUUUAUGCAAACCCGAAAAUAGAAUUUAAAAGCUCAACGUAAUUGAUGUGCAAAUCAGCCAGAUCUGCUCAGCAGUCAGCAUAUGGUCCCUGCAGAAAUUUCCAUGGAGGGAUCAUGUUAUUGUCUUUGUGAAUUUAAGAAAUAGUGUGUGGUGUUAGAUCCAUAACUUCUUUCGCAUAAGGGAAAUUGUGUUUAAAUGAAGAAUAAAGUUCGUAUCUCUACUGGUAGAUUAAAAAAAGAGACUUAAAAAUCAUGUUUAGCACCAAAUAAGCCUUGAAACCAACAACUGAAGAUAUUACUUGGAUGAAGAAAACCAAGAAAAGACUGUCAGAGACUGGCCGUACAUGCCAGUCAAAAGCCCUCACACUUGUCAGUCCAUCACUGUGCCGACAUUCGAGACAACACUAUGCCCCUGCCAUACCAGGCCAGCUAGGGGCUAGACAACCAUCAUGCCUCAGCACCACUUCAUGCAUCGUCAUCACAAUCCUUAAGUAAAAAUAAAUCUUUCUUUAUUAAGCAAUUUAACCUGUCUGUAUGAUGCAAGGUGAUAUUCUUUCAUCUACACCAGUGAACAUCUGUAUACUGAUGAUACCACACAAAUGACUGCAUUUAUUUCCAGCCAUUAUUUGCAAAUUCACCAAACGAAGAAUUAACAAAUAAAGAUGUCGCGGUCCCUAGCUAGGCUAGCUUGGAGAUUCUGCUAGGUGGUCACCUCUCAUUUUGUUUUAAUUGGAGAGAUGUUUAGCCCUUGAUGUAUAGAGACCACUAUUUUUGUAUUUAGCUUUUAUUUAUGUGGAUUCCUUGAUGUAUGUACUUGCAGGAUUAUAGUUGUUUACUUUCCUAUUUGUCUUUAGAGAGUAGUUAUGUUCAUGCUUUAAUAUCCUGAUAGAUGUUGUUAUAUUCCUGUAUGAUUUCUAUCUUAUCAUUGUAGAUGCCUUAUAUGUUCUUGGCAUAUGGCAGGUCUGAGCAUGCACUGGACAGGCUUCCGCUAGGGCCCGGGCGACGAUUAGUACUCCCAGUUACAUCACAUCACAAAUUAGAUGCGUCCCUGCUGUGUCCAUACAUGCUUACUUCUAGAACGAUUUUUGACAUUGAAUCAGAUUAAGACCAGAUGCAGCUGAUAAACCAGCAGUAGUUAUAGAAACAAUGACAGCAUGAACACAAAAGCUUAUAUUAUUAGACAACAACAUAUUGAGAAGGAAUUGGUACUAAACUAUGCUACAGGCAUCCAGAUGCAGCAGAUAAACCAACAGUAGUAGAAGAAACAUUGACUGGAUGGACACGAAAGCUUAUAUUCUUAGACAACCAUAUCAACAAGGAAUUGAUACUAAACUAUGCUACAGGUGUAAGUGUGUGUGUUUAUGGCGGUUUAUUAGGAAAUAAUUACAAGACGAAGAUAAGCAUGUCUAAGCAGUCAGUUGCAUGAUACACUAGGUUGCACUUUUUUCCAACUUUCAGCUACAACUCAAAACUUAGAAGAAAAGAAAAGAAAAGAAAAACAUAAGAUAAAUUGUUUAUUAUAAUAGAAGGAACAUGUGAAUUCUGUCAAUUAGUUACUCUAACGCAAUUAUAAUUUUAGAAGAAGAUAAAUGAAAUAAACAAAGUGCAAUAAAUUAAAAGAAAGGUCAUUAUACUUGAGGAAGUCGAACAACUUCUGCUGUAGUUUGUUAAGAGCCUCCUCCUCCAUGUUGACAUAAGCAAGUAACUCAGGCAGCUUGACUACAAACAGCAAAUAAAACAUUGUAGAACAUCAUGACAAAAAUAAUGUGGAGCCAAAACAUCAUAAUAUGAUAAGUUAGGCCGAGAAAAAGAACAAACUAAUAGCAUAAUUGAUGAGCUAUAUAGACAAUCUUAAUUUCAUAAACCAAGAACAACUUGUUGGCCUAGUGGCCCUAAUCAACCAUUAGAUUUUGAUGAUAACAAAUAAUUGUGACUAUUGGACUAAUCCUUUAUCUUGAGUUUUUAUGUUUAGAUUCUCCUAUCUUUGGAAAGGACUCAAGAUGGGCAAAAUUCGAGCACUAAACUUCACCGCUUGAAGCUAUCCUCGCUGCUUAGGUCAAAAAGACCAAUUCUCUCUCUCUGUCUCUAUAUUUUAAUUUGUUUACAUUCACUUUAGAUUAGAGUUGAGAGUUAUUGAGCUAAAAUUGAACUAUUUUUAUCGACUUAUAGCACAUUUGAACAAAAUUUAUUCUUGAUCAAGCUUGUGCUAAGUUAACAUUGCCCAAAACUCUAUUUAUAAAUAAAUAUCCAUGGCACUUCAAAAAAUACUCAAAAUCUACUCAAAAUCAAAUUUCUGUCAGAUUUCAAGUUUUGGGCUCAGAUCCGGGCACCCAAAAGUGGAUUCGAAUCUGCCUUUCUUUCUAAUUGUAAAUGUCUGGGUGUCCAGAUUGCCACAGUAGCAUCCGAAACUGAAUCUAGGCGCCCGAAAGAUGUUUUGGGCGCUUAAAAAGAAUGAAAAUUUGAUUUUGGACAGGUUGCGUGUUUCGGACGGUGCUGCUCCGAAUUCAUUAUUUCUGCGGUUCUAGGCACCCGAAUCAAGUACCGGGCGCACGAACAGUACUUUGUCUAUUUUCUAUAGAGCAUGCGCCGACCCGAUAAAGCUUUUGACAGCGCCGCUGUGAGAGCAGCACGCGUGCACCGGAGAAGUGGGUGCCCGAAGUACUUCUAGGCGCCAGAAAGUACUGCCCAAAAAAUCGGCGCACGUGGGCUGACAGGUUUCAGAAAAUUCAGCACGCAUUACUUCUGGGCACCCAAAUCCAGCUCUGGGCGCCUGAAAAUCCUGUUUCCAGCAAAUAGGGUGCGCUAUAAAUAGAGGGCUUUGUUGAUCCAUCUAUUGAUCUUUUGAACUUGUAAAUUUUAUGUGUUUAAUACUCUUAGCACUCUACUCUCUCACUAUGUUUGAGUGAAAUUUGUAGUGAGAUAUAAUAUUGUAAAAGAGAAAAAAAAGUGUAGAAAGUGUAAUCUUCUUGAGAGAAGUUCUUGGUGUAACAGCUUGGCGCUUGCCCAGAAAAAGCAGGAUUUAUCGAUUGCCAUUUCGAUCCUCACAUCUUACUAGAAUCUAGCUAGGUCAUAAAUUAUUUGGAGCUACAUGUUCAUGUCCACCACUUGAAUAGUUAAUGCCUUUCUGAAGUUAACAUUUGCUAGGCACUUAAACAUUUUUUUGGUCUCCACUAAACCAAAAUAAAUACGUAUGCAAGUCCCCAUUCUUUCCCUAUAUUCUUGUUAUGGAAAGUCAAAAUUGUAUAUAUUAUGUUCCUAUUUAGCUAGCAUAGUUUAAGACAUCUUUCUUUAGAGAUCUUUCCUUAUUAAAUAUCUUAUUAUAGAAAUAUUUAUGUAUAUAUAUCUUUGUAAUUCAUUAUUGAAUGAACAAGAAGAAUUUGUAUUCUAUUCUCUUUGUAUUCUCUUCUUCAUGGUAUCAGAGCAAAACCCUAAUUCUAGGGUAUAGCGAUCCAGUGCUGUCUUUCUCCCUCACCGGAUCUCAUCGACGCUACAGUACCGCUACAGUACCACUACAGUGCGCUACAGUAUUGGUGCUAUUGCUGCAGUCUAAGGUUCGUGCAUCUGGUUCCUAUUUUUUGAUCCUUUGGUGACAUACCUAGGGUUGUUUUAUUUGCCUCGCAUCGAGGUGUAGAGUGCAGCCCUGAGAGCUGCUUUGUGACUUGGUCUCGUUGUCCAAGACGCCAUAUCUGAAACUGUGUCUGCUAAGAGUGAGCCAAAAUCUGUGAUUGUCGAUGUGAUCCCAGUAAUGACCAAAAUCACAGAACACAAACUCACCGGCUCCAAUUAUCUGGAAUGUAGCAAGACGAUUCGUGUUUAUCUACGAAGCAUUGAUAAGGAUGAUCACCUAACUAGCGAUCCACCGGACGAUAUACAAAGCAAGCUUGGUUGAGGGAAGAUGCUCGGUUGUUCUUACAACUCAGGAACUCUAUUCAAAGUGAGGUAAUUAGUCUAAUUAAUCAUUGUGAGUUUGUGAAAGAAUUAAUUGAUUAUUUAGAUUUUUUAUACUCUGGCAAAGGGAACCUCUCCCGCAUAUAUGAUGUUUGUAAGGCAUUUUACCGAUCUGAGAAGCAGGAUAGGUUUCUCACAGCGUAUUUUAUGGACUUUAAACGUGUUUAUGAAGAGCUUAAUGUUUUAUUACCCUUUAGUCCUGAUGUAAAAGUGCAGCAGGUUCAACGCGAGCAAAUGGCGGUUAUGAGUUUUCUUGCCGGUUUACCCCCAGAAUUUGAGACAGCUAAAUCUCAAAUUCUUUCUAGCUCUGAGAUUUCCUCUUUACAUGAUACUUUCACGCGAGUAUUUCGUACGGAGACUCCUCAAUUUUCUCAAUCUACUAAUAGCGCGCUUGUGAGUCGCAAUGAUAAUAGACGGCAUAAUAGUAGAGGGGGCAAUAGAGGGAUUAUUGCCAAUAAAGGUAAUCACUGUCAUGGAGAGACUACCUCUAAUCGAGAUUUUGGAGUUGUUUGCUAUUACUGUCAUGAACCUGGUCAUACAAAGAGCACAUGUUUGAAACUUCAAAAUAAGAACCAACGAUCUCAGAUGGCCAACAUGGCAGCCGGGGAGUAUACAACCCCAUUCUCAGAGAAAACUGUUUUGGUGUCUGCUUUAGAAUUUGCACAGUUCUCCCAAUAUCAGGCAUCCUUAAAGUCCACCAAUUCCCCUGUCACUGCACUCGCCGAGUCAGGUAAAUCCACAUCAUGCCUUGUGUCUUCGCAUUCCAAAUGGGUCAUUGAUUCUGGUGUUACAGACUAUAUGACAGGUAACUCUAGUCUUUUAUCUGCCUUUCAGUCUCAUAUAACAUCUUCUACUGUUACUUUAGCUGAUGGAUCUACCUCUUGUGUCAUGGGUUCUGGCAUUACAAACCCAACGUCAUCAAUUUCUUUGUCAUCUGUUUUAUGUUUACCCCAGUUUUCUUUCAAUUUACUAUCUGUUAGUAAACUCACUCGAGCUUUGAAUUGUUGUGUCUCAUUUUUUUUCCGAUCAUUGUUUGUUUCAGGAUCUUACGACGACGCAGAUUAUUGGUAGAGGACAUGAGUCUAGAGGUCUCUAUAUCCUUGACAACAAGGUGUCGAGGUCUCUUGCCUGCUCCAGUAAUUUAACUCCUUUUGAAGUCCAGUGUCGGUUGGGACAUACUUCAUUAUCCACCCUAAAGAAAUUGUUUCCGCAGUUUCAAUCUUUGUCCAGUCUAGAGUGUGAGUCAUGUUAGUUUGCUAAGCAUUAUCGUUUACCUUCUGUGUCUAGAGUCAAUAAACGGGCAUCGUCCCCUUUUGAGUUAGCUCAUUCUGAUAUUUGGGAUACGUGUCCUAUUGUUUCCAAAUCAGGAUUUUAAGUAUUUCGUUACCUUUGUGGAUGAUUAUUCUCGUGUUACUUGGUUAUAUUUAAUGAAAAAUCGUUCAGAACUAUUCUCAAUUUUUUGUGCCUUUUGUACUGAAAUCAAAACACAAUUUAAUGUUUCUGUGCGUAUAUUGCGAAGUGACAAUGCCAAAGAAUACUUUUCAGAAAAUUUUCACAGUUAUAUGACAUAGAAUGGCAUCCUUCAUCAAUCCUCAUGUGUUGACACUCCAUCCCAAAAUGGAGCUGCUGAAAGAAGAAACCGGCAUCUCCUUGAGGUAGCUCGUACCCUUCUUUUUCAAAUCAAAGUUCCUAAACAUUUUUGGGCUGAUGCAGUUUCCACGGCUUGUUUUCUGAUUAAUGGCAUGCCUUCGUCUGUCUUGGAUGAUGAUAUUCCUUAUACUGUUUUGUUUCCAUCUAAUCUUUAUUUCCUAUUGAACCUUGUCUUUUUGGUAGUACGUGUUUUGUGCGAGAUGUUCGUCCACAGCAAGGUUUUAAGUGCCCGUCGGCACGGUCCGUAUCCACCGUGCCGUACCGUGCCAACAAGAUACCGGCACGAUACAGACCUCGUGCCGAUGGCACAAUUCAAAACCCUCUAUUUAUUAAAUUAGUACGUAAUUUCCUCAAUAUAGCUCAAAAGAUGUGAUAAAAAGACAUAACAAAUAGUUAAAAUAUUUUGUUGCUAAAGAAAAUAAAUAUUUCAUACUAUUAUGUGUCGGCACAUAAGAAUUUUUUUGACCUGCAUGCAUCAGCACGGCUCGGCACGCACCGUGUCGUACCGUGCCGGCAAGUUUCCAGCACGACCCCGUGCCACGUGUCACGGACAAAAUAUUUUCUGCUGAUUUCUCCUUGACAGUGGCCCAAAUCUGCUAGCGAAACGGGUUGAAAAUGGAUUGAAUCAGGUUGUCAAUACCCAAACCCAACCUGCUGUGGGAAACUCAAGGGUUAUGAAACUCUCAUGAGUUAUGGGGUGACUCUUAGGCUUUUGGCUCAUUAUGAGGAUGAGUUAAUGUGUCUCAUAAUGAGAGAGUUAGUGUGUGUCCAGGUUCAUUGUAACUAGGAGCUUAUAAGUAGUGGGGUUUGGUUAAGGCCAAAACACACAAGAGAGUGUGUGUAUGUGAGUUGUAAUUCUCAUUUUCUAAGUAGUGUAGUACUUAGUUUUUUGAGUGAACUUUUGCCUCUCUCUCUUUGUCAUUCCCUUUGCAUACUUAGUCGUAGGACGCGAAGGUCUGGACUAGCAAUAGGGACGAAGGCUUGUCCAUCUUCGAGCAGCAAGGCGGGCGCCGCACGAACUUUGCGAACAGAACCGCUAAGGCCGUGACACACGGCACUUAAAUCCUUGGUCCACAGGUAACUAAAUUGGAUCCAAAGUCUCUUAAGUGCGUCUUUCUUGGGUACUCUCAUCUGCAAAAGAGGUAUCGAUGCUUUUCUCCUACUCUCGAUCGAUAUAUUGUGUCUGCCGAUGUUACAUUUUUUGAAUCUACUCCAUUCUUCCCUCUCUCAUCUACUUAUGAAAAUGAUGGGGAGGAAGAUGAUCUCCUUGUUUAUACUGUCAAUUCCUGCUCCAUCGGCAACUGUUCGACCCCCUAUUGUUCAUGUCUAUUCUAGGAGAUUAGCGACUCCUGACUCAGAUCCUCCGCCAGCUUCUUCGUCGGAAGAUCCAGUUACUACUAUCACCGACCUUGCCUCUGAUUCUGAUCUUCCGAUUGCUCUUCGCAAAGGCAAACGUAAGUGUACCUACCCUAUUUCAUCGUUCGUUUGUUAUGACCGUUUGUCAUUCUCUUCUCGUUACUCCAUUACCUCUCUAGAGUCGGUUUCUGUUCCUAAAUCUGUUGUGGAAGCUUUGUCUCAUCCUGGCUGGCGUGCUGUAAUGGAAAAGGAAAUGAUGGCUUUAGACGCCAAUGGUACUUGGGAACUGGUACCCUUACCUGCCGAUAAGCGAGCUAUUGGUUGCAAAUGGGUAUUCACUGUGAAAAUGAAUCCAGAUGGUUCUGUAGCUCGCCUAAAAGCCCGCCUUAUUGCCAAAGGCUAUGCUCAGACUUAUGGGGUUGAUUAUUCUGACACUUUCUCUUGUAGCUAAACUUGCUUCUAUUCGCUUAUUUAUUUCGUUGGCGGCCACAUCUCAUUGGGUUUUACACCAGCUGGACAUUAAAAAUGCUUUUCUCCACGGUGAUCUUCAAGAAGAGGUAUAUAUAGAGCAACCACCUGGUUUUGUUGCUCAGGGGGAGUUGGGUCGAGUGUGUAGACUUCGGAAGUCUUUAUAUGGCUUGAAGCAAAGUCCUCGAGCUUGGUUUGGCAGAUUCAGUGAAGUAGUUCAGGAGUUUGGCAUGAAGAAAAGUAAGUGUGAUCAUUCUGUGUUUUAUAGACAUUCUGAGACUGGUCUAAUUCUAUUAGUAGUGUAUGUGGAUGAUAUUGUCAUCACUGGGAAUGACACUGCAGGAAUCUCAUCUCUCAAGUUGUUUCUUCAAACCCAAUUUCAGACAAAGGACUUGGGAGUGUUUAAGUACUUUUUGGGUAAUUGUCACAUCAACUGUCUUAGAAAAUUAUUUGGAUUUUGAGGACAGAAGUUUUAUUAAUAUAAAAUAUGAAUUGUCUUAUUCGUAAAAUUUCUUAUUUAGCAUGAUAGUGGAAAUAUCAAGGAUGAAAAUUUUGUUACAAGGGAAGAAUGUACUACCCCAUUUUUUUUUUUAUUUGAUCGAGGAUUCUUUUGCUCAAGUUAAAAAAUCUAGGGGUUCAUGUGCAAUUAUGCAACCCUAAUUAAUAAAAAAGACUCCUAAUCUCUCUUUUUCUCCCCAACCGAUCGUUCUUUCUUUUUGUCUCAUUCAACCUCAUCCGUAUGUGCCUUUCGCACGUGCGCGAUCUCUCUCUCUUUCUUGCACAAUCCUCGAUCUCGUCUUUCGACACUGCCGCCGCUGCCACUUCAUCGGCAUCUUUUUGUUCAUGGCCAGCAUCAUUGGAUAGUUAAAGGCAUCUCGUUUGUAGUCAUCUCAUUCAUCGUCAUCAAAAAGGUUCCUUUGAUUAAUUUGAUGCACUAUAUUUGACGAAACAAUACUCAAAUUAUUUAGAGGUAAGCGACCUAACACCUAUUAAUUUAUUCUUGAUAAAACUUGUAGAAAUAUGUUACGAUAACGAAAAUCCCUUACUAUAUGGUUUUUCAAAACAAGGGUUAAGCGUGCUGAUAUAAAUUACAAAUCGCUGGAAGAAAAAGAUUUCUAAAAAGUUCUAAUUUGACUCUUGUGCAGUUUUUAGAAAAAUAUGUGCUUUAGAAAUUGUGCUUAUUUGAUAAAACUUCAGAAUUUAAUAAUUUGUUUCCUUCAUAAUUUUUGACUCGGUAAAAAAUUUUGAAGUCAUGAUGUCCCUAGAUAUAUUGCUAUAAUGAUGUUGGCCAUAUCGGCAUGAAUCUUGUGUUUGAAGCUAGCUUUGAUUUUGUGAUGCAUCUAUGAGUGCUACUUUGUGACGCACCUUCAGGUGCAAUUUUAUGACACGUCUUCGGCUGCAAUUUUGUGAUAUGCCUUUAGGUGCAAUUUUGUGAUGCGCUUCCUAGUGCUAUUUAGAUUCAUAUUUGGGUGCUUUCUCUUUGUCAUCGUGCCUUCAAUGUCUCUAAUGUGCAUUUAGGACCUAAGCCAACAAUCGCUAGUUAUCAAAGAGUUUCGUUUUAAAUUCUAAUUUUCAAAAUAAGAACACUUAGUUAAUUCUAUUUUUCUUAGUCUUUGUAAAACAUGCUUGUUUAAGACUCAAAAUUCUGAAACUUGAUUUGUAAAAGUUUGUGAAACUCCAAUGUUGUAUUGGACACGUAUCGGGUGCGUAUCGAGCACGUCUCCAUAUUCGAACUAUAUUUGACAUGCAUACGUCAUGUAAAUUGAAGUAUCCAUGUUUCAUAUAUGUCUAGAUUGGCACACCAUACUCGACCUUCAUGUCAUAUUUUCAGAAUAAGAUAAAUCACCUCUUAGGUGAAGUAUGCUAUCCUACCAAAUUAUGGAUGCCAAGUCUUUUCAAUAAGCAAAAAUCAAACUCCUAACUUCCAAUUACAAAAGAAAAUUCUUAUACCAAACAAGUUAUCAUCAGAGAACUUAUUCUGAUGCCCGAUUCUUAAUAGGCCCUAGAUGUUAGAAUAAGUUACUCAAUGAUAACCUAUUGGAUAUAAGGAUUUUCUUGUGUGAUUGCAAGCGAAGAGUUUGAUUUUUUACUCUGCAAAACUUUGGCAUCCAUGAUUUGAUAGAAUACCAUAUUUUAUCUAUGAGGUAAUUUAUCUUUUUCCUAGAGAUUUGGUACUCCGUUCUAAACAUUUGAUCAUACUUCUCAUCCACCAAAUACUAUAAGGUUUUUGAGGUAAUCAAAAGAAUAUACCAAACAAGAUGUUGAUGCAUGCAAAUAGGGCCUACUGAAAAUGAUAUAGCGAAUAGGAUGUUCAUGCAUCCAAACAAGGCCAAGUGAAUGUUGUUAAGAAAUAUCCAGUUCUUCACUUUCUCUAACAAAAUAACUCAUUAUCACUAGAUGGGAUAUAAAUGAAAAUUCAGAGAAACAUACAAAGAGAAAGUUUAGAAUGUACAAGCUAAGAGCUCAACAAUUUGGUUCACUUUGGUCUGCUUUUUGCUUGUCAGUGAUUUGAUUUUAGUUUAAGCUGCCACCUGACCUAUCUCGUGGUGAAUGUGCUGCAAAAGAACUGCCCACAAGAGAGGCAAACUCUAAUUUAGUUUAAGUGAUCUGCAUUUUGAGGGAAAUUACACUUCCUUUGAUGAUCCGUGAAGUUACUUGACACGUUUCCUAUAUUAUUUCCUUAACAACACUGUCUAAUUUGAGGAAUAGACAGUUUUAAUUGCACAAGAGUAUUACAAUUUACAAAUCAUGGGUAAGCGGAAUAGAGAAGAGUAAAGAAUUAAAUUCUAGGCAAACAAGAGAAGCUAGACAGAAAUAUGCAUACCGAAAAGACGUAAUAGAUGUUCAGCACCGUAUACAGUUGAAGGUGAGGCAUUAUCUCGAACUGCUUCGCGGUAUUGUUGCCGCUCCUUUUUAUAGAGAAGCAUCACAGGCAAUGCCUUGUCAAAAUAGCAUCUUAGACCUUUAAGAAUUUCCGCGACAGAUUCAGCAAUCCUUCACUCACAGAAAACACAAAUGUGCUAUAUCACCAAUGAAGCUCAUUAGAUCCGAACACACUAAACAGGCUAGCAAACCUAAAACAUAAAAAAUGUUAUAAUGCUCAUAAAAAAUGUUAUAAUGCUCACAAUAGAUUCACCAGCUCUAACCUACAAAUCCAACUCACCUUUUUCCAGUUGGUUUGGUAAAUUUUUGGAACAUAUCUAACACUGUUUUAGUCCUCGACUUUUAAAGUUUUAUUCGCAUUGAUAAAUCCUCAACUACAUGUCCUUCGACCAAAUAAAUUUUAAAAUUUGUGAAGCUAGUCUUAGAAGCUUUUCUAUCCCUUGCAUUACUAGUAGAUUCAUAGCCUCUAAAUUUUUGGGUAAUCACAUUCCUAAUUGUUCUUCUAGUUGCUCACUGAGCACCCAGUCACAAUAUGACAACCUAUCAAGAGAUAACACUAAUAUACAGUAUAAACUUCACUGAACCAAGCAAGCAAGCACAACAGCAUGGCAACAUAUUGCUGAUCUCUAACGAACAAGGCCAAUGAGCUUCCUACCUCCAAUCACAAAAGGCAUGAUAAACAAGAGAACAAGGCCAAUCAGCUUCCUACCUUCGGAUCAUCCCUGCUCCAGCCCUAGCCCGAGCUCGAAUUCCAUUGGCAGUGCCUUCCUAUUCCAGCCAUCCGGGUGGCCGCUAAUCUUCUGAAAGGUGAGCACGGGUAUUCUGGGGUGUCAUAGACCUCUGUUGCUCACCUUAAUUGGGUUCUACAAGGCUCUGAUUGUCUAAUUCGGAGAUGUCUCUACCGAUGACUUCUGGAACUAGGGUUCAAGUAGAGCCCCGGUGCGCUCCUCGGCCUCUAUUCGUGCUCCAAACAGCGAGCAUGGGCUUCGGCCCGUCGAGAACUAUCAGAGGGCAUUGCUGGUUGGUCUUGGAACCUUGCGGUGUUCGGUAAAGCAUCAUCUUUAUUGUUUUUAUAUUCAUAGUUGUUGUUAUUGGAUAGUGUAGGGGCUUUUAUGAAAAUUGGACAAUUCGGAUUGCCUCGGGCAGUAUGAGAUCGCUAUUUGUGAUCCCUGGGUGUCCAAGGUCCCAUGGCCUUCGCGAAGUCCAAUUCUAGUCUCGUUGCAUUUUUCGGCAAAAUCGCUGGCGGAACAUGACGGUUGAUGUGGGGUACACUUUUUAUUGAUGUGUAUGCCCUAGGUUUGUCGACGAGCCUUGUCAUCUGGCUGCUCUCGUUGCCUCAGGUAUUCCAAGACAACAAGUGAGCGGCGGAGGGUUUCGAUGCCGAAAACAGCAUUUCCAGAGACCCGAAACGGCAUUUUGUAUGUUAUUGUAUUUAUAUCUCACUUCAGCAUAUGUUUGUUAUCCGAACACCUAAAUUGGUGUGUUUUGGGACAACAGGUGACUUAAGGUGUACAUCAGUACAUUCCAAGGUAUUUUAAUGGGUACGGGAGUGUUCCGAGAGACUUUCCGAAAAUUCUGGUGGUUCCAAAGUUGUGUUUGGUAUUUUGAGCCAACUAGGUUGGACCUUAACUGGGUGAGUCUUUCGUAGGUCCGGUCGACAUCCAGCACGCCUUGGGUGUUAGGUGUUGUGGCAGUUUCAGAUGUGUGCUUCGAUCCGAAGUCGGUGCAGUGAUGUUAGCUCGGUGAUGUUCUUCCCUCACUGCAUUUCAUUGUUUUCACACAUUAUUUGGUAAGCACUACACCACUAGACUUCCAUUUAUGUUGCACUACUUCUGCUCUCUCAUGAUUUAGUAGUAGAAUGGUGCCUAACAAUAUUUUUCGCAUGACCUCUAUCUGUGGGACCUGAUUGAUCCGUGACUAUUGAGUUUGGUGAUACAUAGAGGAUAUGAUUUUGGACAGAUAUCUAUUGUUGGCUUAUUCUCGGCUAUUCGCCGCCUCGUUGACUAUUGAACAUUUUGUAUCUAUUGUCACAGCUCAUGUAGUAGCAUGCCACAUAUACCAGCAGUUUGGCCAUCACAACGGUGUUCUUUUCCAAGAAAGUGGUCGUUUAUCCGACCUUGAACCCUUUGUAAGGUACUAGUUAGGGUUAUGUGCCGGUAGGUGAGCAUAUUGUGGCAUUGCCUGAGGUCUUUAGACCAAUGUGGUGAGGUGUACGAGUAUCUGUCUUUCAUUACGGUUAAUGCAUAUAUACAAUGUUGUUGCUUUACAGUAGCGGUAGGUGCUUACUAUUGUUUAUAUUUAUUGUUCUUCACUUGCUAUUGUGCUUGUAUAUCUAUCUCUCAUUUUUAGUUAUAUUCUACUUGGCAAUGUGUACACUCGCCCCCGUCGGCUUGCGAUACCUAUUGGAAGACCCCUUGUAGGUUUAUCACUUCCCUCCAUUUUGGUGGAUCUUGGUGGUGAGACUCGGGACGAUGCAUGAGGCACGGUAGCUAAUGAGCCUAGAGGUCCAGAUCAUAUGUCACUAGAUUCGAUUACUCUAAUCCUUACCCUAUUCUCUUAUUUGAUAAUAAGUUAGACUGUCGUGGUUCAGUUAUCUGAUUUUCUGAAUGAUUUAGUUAUGAUUGUUUAUAUUAUCUAUCAUACGUUGACCAGUGAGUAUAGCUUGCCUUUGACGGCUUACAACACCUACUAGAAAAAAUGUAUACAUUCACUGAACCAAGCAAGCAAGCACAACAGCAUGGCACCAUAUUUCUAGAUCUCUAACGAACAAGGCCAAUGAGCUUCCUACCUCCAAUCGUAAAAGGUAUGAUAAACAAGAGAACAAGGCCAACGAGCUUCCUACCUCCAGAUCAUCCCUGCUCCAACCCUAGCCCGAGCUUAAGUUCCAUUGGCAGUGUCUUUGUAAAGAAGUGAAUUCUCGAAAUCCGAGGAUUAGGCAUCGUUUAGAACCGACUAGUUGUCGAGUUGGUAGACUUCGGAAAGUCCGAAGGUGAUUAAAUGCAUGAAGUGCAUUAAGAAAAGGUCCGCGAGAACAGCAGUGCAAAUCUGCACUGGAGCAUAAUUGCUCUCGGGGACCGGUCCCUGGCAGGGAGGGACCGGUCCCAUCAGGCUGGGCUGGCGGGGAUCCUUGAUGCAACCGGUCUCUGGCGGAGAGGAACCGGUCCCCGAACAUUACUCCAGCGAGAAUAGCCGAAAUUUGGCUAAGUCCCGAAAAUCCAACUCUCGGGAACCGGCCUCUUAGACAAUGACCGGUCUCCCGGGGACUGGUCUCUCAAGCAGGAACCGGUUCCCGAACGCAAAAUCCCCUCUGCCCGAGAUGGAAGGCUCUCGGGGACCGGUCUCUCCGACCUGGGACCAGUCCCUCACUGCGAAAAUGCCCAGUGAGGGCUGCUGCAGAGGAUGGAAAGUUGAGUGAGCUAUCUGCAAAAUGGCCUAUAUGAGAGGUGGGGGACCCCUCUCUUCCUCUCAUUUGCUCUCUCUCCCUCUCACACUCUUUCUCUCUCUCUCUCUAGAACGAAAGGAAAAGAAAAAGAGAAGGAGAAGAAGAGAAAGAAGGAAAAGAAGAAGAAAAGGAAGGAGAAGACCAAGAAGAAGAGAAGAUCAUCUUCUUCCCUUUCUCCUUCAAGCUAGAGCAAGCUUGGAGCUUUGUAUAGAAGUAAGCUUCAAAACCAUCCAUGGUGGAUUUCUUGAGAUUGGGUUUUAUUGCUUAGAAAUGGUUCGAAUGGAACCUAGAGGAGAUAAAUAGAUGGUUCGAGCUCGUAAUUGAAGCUCGCACCAUGGAUUUCCCCAUCGUUGCCAACCUAGGGCACGGAUUCGGGAUUUUUGGAAAUCUAGGGUUUUGAUCUAUUUUAAUAGGUUGUAAACCUAAUUGCUAGGUCUCGGAACGCGUCGGCGAAGACGGUUCGUCGAUACAACGAGCGGGUGCGAAGAUAUCGCCGAAUAAAGCGCUUAAGGGUUCGGAUCGACCCGAGAAGUCGAGGCGUCGACCAAGGACUACGAAAUCAAGUUUUCUACCGUCACGGCAUCACCAAGAGGUGGGUGGUGACCAUCCCAAAGCAAUCGGGCUCCCUCUUAUGCCUUAGUAUUUUAAGACCUUGCAUCUUGUGUUCACAUGCAUUAUAGGAUGAUGAUGCAUUGCCUUUCCUUAUGCUUUCCUAGCUGAUAUCAUAUUAUGCAUUAGUUGCUGGAUAUAGGGGAUUGAUGAGGAUUGGGUCGAGACUUGUAAUCCUAUAGUUCAGAGAUGAAACAAAAGAACGAGUGGCAUCUAGUUGUAAUAAACAAAGAACAAGUGGCAUAUGUGUGAGUCGUAGCAUAUAUGAAACCCAUUGACUAUGGUGAUAGUAGCCCUAGAGGAUAGAGUGCCCUUGAGGUGGGAGAAUUAGAUCAUACUCAUUGUCUGUUCCCAACUUGUGAUGUUCGCUCCACACAAGUAGUGCGCUCCGGAGUCGGUCACGAGGGAUGGCCUAUUUGGGGUCCCGUGGGAUAGGAAUGGCCUAUUUGGGGUCCCGAGGGAUGGCCUAUGUGGGGUCCCGCAGACGGUCUCGGAUUCGUAGUUAUCGAGACGGCUAUGUGAGUAGUGGGCGAAUCCUUGAAUGAGCCACGAGAUUAAUGAACAAGUAAAUAGCCUUACUUCUUGGACAUAUGAAGAGCUAGUUGAUUAUCCAUUUCAUUGUGCAUGCAUUCUUCAUAUACAUGAUUCGGGCACAAUAGUGUAGCUUUAAUAUUCUGUUAUUACAGCCUUGUAUACCUAUCUAUCUGUUUAUCUACUUGUGCCCACUUGGAGCUAGUGGGGAGACCGGCGGAGUCGGCAGCUGAACCCACUGGGAACUAUGAAAGAUAGUUCUCACCCCACUCUUUUCAGGUUCGAGCUCGGGUGUCCCCGGCGAGCGCGAGGAUCGUGGUAAAGGCUUAGCGCCCUAGUUGCAUUAGCUAUCUACCCAUUUUAUAUUAGCUCUACCAUGUACUUAUGUUUGAGAGUAGAUGUUGUAUAGGGUGAGGUUCGAGAAUGCUUGUACAUAUGUUUUGGAAGAAUGUAAAAGAUAGAAUUAAAUGUAUUAAGUUGAAUGAAUGUAAUAGAUAGAACUUUCUCUCUUUAUUUACUUGUAUGUCUCAUACUUGUAUCUUGCUCUUGUUUGUUGGCACUGGUGGUGCUCCUUGUGAUCGUGUAUCUAUGAAUUGAUCUCCUGGGUAAAUUCUUAUACAUGGUCAGUUGGCUUAGCCUUGGGUGGACAGGGGAGGUCCUGUCCUUUCGGCGUCUGUUUGACGCGCCCGGACCGGACCAAAUUGGUAGCAGUCUCGGGGCAUGACAAAUAAAAGUGGUAUCAGAGCAUUAAGAGCAAGUAAAGAGAGAGUCUAUGAUGACCUAGGAGACCCUAGGUUGGUAAACCCUAAGAUUGUAGGGGCGUGAGUGAACGUGAACUCAUGGCGGUGGCGGAGGCUAAUCGAUUGUGUCGGAGUUGAUGUUAUGUCUCUAGCUGUGAAUAGAGACGGAUUCAAGUGACGCUAGUUUCUUGGCUCGUAGUGGUUGUGUCGGCGGCCGACGACACGACGCUAAGAGUCCAGCACUAGAGCACUUGUAUGCUUCCGCCCGAUUUUAUUGUCGAGUCAUUUAAUUUCGCAAACGUUAAGAGAUUGUCAGAUUAAGAUAACUAACCGAGUUGCUGCUUUUCAGGAGCAAAUGUCCCCAAGACGGUACGUACGUAGGUCUGUUCCGGUACCGCCUUCCGCAGUGCCCGAGCAGCCAAGAUCGGAGGAAGUGCUGGAACUGCGUGAGCAGGUCGCUGCGAUGUUGGGCGCGAUGCAGCGCCAGGAGGCUCGGUUCGAGCAGCUCCACCCGCACCUUCGGCGCGCGCGCCGGUAGCGGCUAAGGGUGAGAGCAUAGCGGCGGUUCCGGUGGCUGCCUGUCCCCCGCAGGCAAGUGCACCUCUGACAGCUUCGGGUUCAGCGACACCUGAUACGACGGCCGAGGAAGUGGAGCGGAAGCGUGCGCUGACGGCCCUAAUGAAAUUCCUGAAGUUUAAGCCACCAACCUUUGAAGGGGGAAAGGUGGAGCCGUCGGUGGUGGAGUCUUGGAUUGACUCUAUUGAGACCCUCUUCGAGGACCUAUAUGCCUCGGAGAAGGACAAGGUACCCCUCGCCACCCAUUGCCUCGAGAAGGCGGCGAAGGUGUGGUGGAAGCGGUUUAAGCGGAAUCGACCCUCUGGCCUUCCACCAAUGCUCUGGGAGGAGUUUAAGAAGGAAAUGUUUGGAAACUACUUCCCUGACACCGAGAAGGGGAAGUUGAAGAAGAGGUUUCGCAAAUUGAGACAGGGAGAUCGUUCGGUGGCAGACUACGAGCAGGAGUUCUCCCAUAUUAUAGACUGUGUCCCAGACGUGGUUAAAGAUGACGGGGACAGGGCCGAAUGGUUCUUGCGGGGACUUCGGCCGUGGAUAUAUCGGGUGGCGCAGUUGUUCAAGCUCACGACUUUCGCCGAAGUUUUUGACAGGGCACUGUGGGCGGAGCAUGGAGAUGCCCACGUGCGGGAGGAGCGUGAGCUGCUGGCAGGACCCCAAAACAAGGGGAGGAAGCAAUCGGGCGGCGGUUCGGGAGGGGGACAAUCUAGUUCCAGGAAACCCCUUAAGUAUCCGCGGUCGCAGUCGUGGGGCCGUAGGCCGCAGCAAUGUGUUAUCUGUGGAGGCCAGGUUCAUCGAGCACCACAGUGUAAGCAACGUCAAGGUAAAUGCUACGACUGCGGACAGGAAGGGCACAUAAGCUGCGACUGUCCAACAAGGGCCUCGUUUACUCCGUCAGCUGCGUCGACUCCAACACCCCAGCCUCAUCAUGGAGAGGCUCCAUAUAUUCUUGUAUGAGGGGGCGGGUAUUCGCCACUCAGGCCCAAGCCGAGGAGUCUACCCAAGCCGAGGAGCCUAACGUCGUGGCAGGUAUGGUUCUAAUUAACGGAGUUCGCUCCAGGGCUAUGUUCGAUACAAGUGCCACGCAUUCGUUCAUUAGUAGAGCAUUUGCACGCAUGCAUGACAUACAUAUAGAAGCAAGUGGCAAGUGGCGAGUUGAAGGCCCCGAGUCGUCAUUCAACACCUACACAGAAUGCCCGUCGUGCCCAGUACAAGUAGGCGACUGGAUAAUGCCCACCCGGAUGUUGGAACUCAGUAAACUGGAGGCAUAUGACGUCAUUUUGGGCAUGGACUGGCUCUCGAAGUAUUACGCCACGAUCGAUUGUAAGAAUAGAUUGAUCACCUUUCGGGAGCCAGGACAGAAGGAGUUCGUCUAUCGAGCUUGUCGAAGCUCUUGCUUCGUCGCGACGGUAUCAGCGACGAGAGCUAGGAAGAUGGUCAACGGCGGCUGCGUAGCAUUUUUGGCGACCGUCGUGGAAGUGGACCGAGUGGCUCCGAACUUAGAAGAUCUAUCGGUGGUGCGGGAAUUCCCGGAUGUAUUUCCCGCGGAGUUACCGGGGAUGCCGCCGGAUCGGGAGAUUAAGUUCGUUAUAGACUUGGUCCCCGGGACGGCGCCGAUCUCAAAGGCCCCAUACCGCAUGGCGCCGACAGAGUUAAGGGAACUGAGGGAUCAGUUGCAAGAUCUCCUCGACAAGGGGUUUAUCAGGCCGAGUGUGUCGCCGUGGGGAGCCCCGGUGUUGUUCGUGCGCAAGAAGGAUAGCUCGUUUCGACUCUGCGUGGAUUAUCGGGAGUUGAAUAGGGUCACGAUAAAGAACAAGUACCCGUUGCCCCGAAUCGACGACUUAUUUGAUCAGUUACAGGGGUCACGAGUGUACUCGAAGAUAGACCUACAAUCCGGCUAUCAUCAGUUAAAGAUUAAGUCGGAGGAUGUUCAGAAGACCGCGUUUCGCACGCGGUAUGGACACUACGAAUACACGGUUAUGCCUUUCGGGCUCACUAAUGCCCCGGCAGCAUUCAUGGAUCUAAUGAACCGUGUGUUCAAAGCAUGCUUGGACCGAUUUGUCGUGGUCUUCAUAGACGACAUCUUGGUCUAUUCGCGGAGUGACGAGGAGCACGCGGAGCAUUUGCUGAUAGUACUUCAAAUCCUUCGGGAAGAGAAGCUGUUCGCAAAGUUAAAGAAAUGUGACUUCUAGCUUCGAGAGGUUGCCUUUCUGGGGCAUGUGAUUUUCGGGGCAUGUGAUUUUCGAGGGCGGUGUUUCGGUUGACCCGAGGAAAGUCGAAGCAGUUCAGAAUUGGCCGCGUCCAACGAACGUCACGGAGGUCCGAAGCUUCAUAGGCUUAGCGGGCUACUAUCGACGGUUUGUGGAGGGUUUUUCGAAGAUUGUGACUCCGCUUACCAGUCUGACGCAGAAGGGCGUCAAGUUUAUUUGAAGCGACGAAUGUGACCAAAACUUCAACGAGUUGAAGAAAAGGUUAACGUCGGCUCCGAUACUCGCCUUACCGGUGCAGGGCGAGGACUUUGUGGUCUAUAAUGAUGCAUCCCAUCUGGAUUUGGGGUGUGUCCUGAUGCAAGGCGGGAGAGUGAUAGCCUAUGCAUCCCGUAAAUUAAAAGACCACGAGAAGAAUUACCCCAUUCAUGACUUGGAGUUGGCGGCGGUGAUCUUUGCGUUGAAGCUGUGAAGGCACUACCUAUACGGUGCGCACUGCGAGAUCUACACCGACCACAAAAGUCUGAAAUAUUUAUUUACCCAGAAGGAGUUAAACAUGCGGCAGAGGCGGUGGUUAGAGUUACUGAAGGACUACGAUGUCAAUAUUCUCUACCACCCCGGCAAAGGAAAUGUGGUCGCGGAUGCGCUUAGUAGAAAGUCGGCGAAGAACCUCGCUUUUGAUGUUACCCAGCAAACACCCCUAUGGCUGGAUAUGGAGCGACUGGACCUUGAAGUGGUCGCUCCCGAGGUUCCGACUCAGUUGAUGGCUCCGUUGUUCAACCGACCUUAUUGGAGAGGAUCAAGAAUUUGCAACCUGCAGACCCGAGUCUCCAAAAGGUGCGGCGCAACAUCGAGGAAGGUCGAGGCGGCGACUUCAGUGUGGACGCCGGUGGCCUGCUUCGGUUCCAAAACUGUUGGUGUGCCCGUGAAUGAAAAGCUUCGCAAGUUAAUCUUGCAAGAAGCCCACCGGUCUCCAUACGCUGAUCACCCGUGCGGCACCAAGAUGUAUCAUGAGUUGAGAGCACUCUAUUGGUGGCCGGGGAUGAAAGUUGAUAUUGGGCGCUUCGUGGCGAAAUGUUUGACUUGUCAGCAAGUGAAAGCAGAGCGCCGGUUUCCAACGGAAAAGCUUCAAAGCCUACCAAUCCCCGUCUGGAAAUGGGAGGAUAUCCAUGGAUUUCGUCGUCGGAUUGCCUCGCUCGACAAAGGGCCACGACGCAAUAUGGGUGAUUGUGGACCGCUUGACGAAGUCAGCACACUUUUUACCGAUCCACACCACCUGGGCGGGAGAUAAGUUGGCGCAGGUAUACCUUGAUAAGGUAGUGAGGCUACACGGGGUAGCGAAGUCGAUUGUGUCGGAUAGGGACCCCAAGUUCACUUCACAUUUCUGGAAAAGCCUACAGGAGGCCCUUGGCACACGGCUCGACUUCAGCACUGCAUUUCAUUCCCAGACAGACGACUAUUCAAACUCUGGAGGAUAUGUUGCGAGCCUGUGUUAUCGACUACAAAGGAGGCUGGUGUAAGUACUUACCAAUAGCCGAGUUCGCCUACAACAACAGUUAUCAUGCUAGUGUGGAGAUGGCACCGUUCGAGGCUCUUAAUGGGCGAAAGUGUCGAUCUCCCAUUUAUUGGAGCGAUGUGGGCGAGCGCACGAAAUUCGGCCCCGAUGUGUUGCGAGAGGCGGAAGAGAAGGUCCGCCUUGCUCGCAAAAGGUUACUCACGGCGCAGUCUCGACAGCAAAGUUAUGCAGAUAGGCGCCGACGAGAUCUGGAGUUUGCGGUGGGCGAUCGCGUUUUCUUGAAGGUUUCGCCUAUGAGGGGCGUUAAACAAUUUAGAGUUCGGGGAAAGCUAAGUCCCCGAUACAUUGGCCCCUAUGAGAUCUUGGAGCGGAUUGGGACGGUGGCUUAUCGACUCGCGUUGCCGUCGAAACUUGCAGAUGUGCAUAAUGUAUUCCACGUCUCCAAUCUUCGCAAGUACAUACCUGAUCCCGAGCACGCAAUGUUGUAUGAACCGCCGGAGCUUCAGGAAGACCUCAGCUACGAGUUUCCGGUGGCAAUUACAGCUCGUGAAGUGCGCAAGUUAAGGAAUCGAGAAAUUCUCUAUGUUCGAGUUCGGUGGAGCAAUCAUAGCAAUCGCGAAGCCACCUUGGAGCUCGAGGAGGAGAUGAAAGCGAAUCACCCACACUUGUUCGAGGAUUAAGUUGAGGUACGAGUUUAGAAUUUAAAGUUCUAAGUAAGUUUUAUGAUAUCGAGUUCGUUUCGAGGACGAAACUCUUUUAAGGUGGGGAGGAUGUAAGGAAGUGAAUUCUCGAAAUCCGAGAAUUAGACUUCGUUUAGAACCGACUAGUUGUCGAGUGGGUAGGCUUCGGAAAGUCCGAAGAUGAUUAAAUGCAUGAAGUGCAUUAAGGAAAGGUCCGCGAGAGCAGCAGUGCAAAUCUGCACUGGAGCAUAAUUGCUCUCGGGGACCGGUCCUAUCAGGCUGGGCUAGCGGGGAUCCUUGAUGCAACCGGUCUCUGGCGGAGAGGAACCAGUCCCCGAACGUUACCCCAGCGAGAAUAGCCGAAAUUUGGCUAAGUCCCGAAAAUCCAACUCUCGGGAACCGAUCUCUCGGACAAGGACCGGUCUCUCGAGGACCGGUCUCUCAAGCAGGAACCGGUUCCCGAACGCGAAAUCCCCUCUGCCCAAGAUAGAAGGCUCUCGGGGACCGGUCUCUCCGACCUGGGACCGGUCCCUCACUGCGAAAAUGCCCAGUGAGGGCUGCUGCAGAGGAUGGAAAGUUGAGGGGGCUAUCUGCAAAAUGGCAUAUAUGAGAGGUGGGGGACCCCUCUCUUCCUCUCAUUUGCUCUCUCCCUCUCACACUCUUUCUCUCUCUCUCUAGAACGAAAGGAAAAGAAGAAUAGAAGGAGAAGAAGAGAAAGAAGGAAAAGAAGAAGAAAAGGAAGGAAAAGACCAAGAAGAAGAAGAAGAUCAUCUUCUUCCCUUUUUCCUUCAAGCUAGAGCAAGCUUGGAGCUUUGUAUAGAAGUAAGCUUCAAAACCAUCCAUGGAGGAUUUCUUGAGAUUGGGUUUUAUUGCUUAGAUAUGGUUCGAAUGGAACCUAGAGGAGAUAAAUAGAUGGUUCGAGCUCGCAUUUGAAGCUCGCACCAUGGAUUUCCCCAUCAUUGCCAACCUAGGGCACGGAUUCGGGAUUUUUGGAAAUCUAGGGUUUUGAUCUAUUUUAAUAGAUUGUAAACCUAAUUGCUAGGUCUCGGAACGCGUCGGCGAAGACGGUUCGUCGAUACGACGAGCGGGUGCGAAGAUAUCGCCGAAUCAAGCGCUUAAGGGUUCGGAUCGACCCGAGAAGUCGAGGCGUCGACCAAGGACUACGAAAUCAAGUUUUCUACCGUCACGGCAUCACCAAGAGGUGGGUGGUGACCAUCCCGAAGCAAUUAGGCUCCCUCUUAUGUCUUAGUAUUUUAAGACCUUGCAUCUUCUGUUCACAUGCAUUAUAGAAUGAUGGUGCAUUGCCUUUCCUUAUGCUUUCCUAGCUGAUAUCAUAUUAUGCAUUAGUUGCUGGAUAUAGGGGAUUGAUGAGGAUUGGGUCGAGACUUGUAAUCCUAUAGUGCAGAGAUGAAACAAAAGAACGAGUGGCAUCUAGUUGUAAUAAACAAAGAACGAGUGGCAUAUGUGAGUCGUAGCAUAUAUGAAACCCAUUGACUAUGGUGAUAGUAGCCCUAGAGGAUAGGGUGCCCUUGAGGUGGGAGAAUUGGAUCAUACUCAUUGUCUGUUCCCAACUUGUGAUGGUCGCUCCACACAAGUAGUGCGCUCCGGAGUCGGUCACGAGGGAUGGCCUAUUUGGGGUCCCGUGGAAUAGGGAUGGCCUAUUUGGGGUCCCGAGGGAUGGCCUAUGUGGGCUCCCGCAGACGGUCUCGGAUUCGCAGUUAUCGAAACGGCUAUGUGAGCAGUGGGCGAAUCCUUGAAUGAGCCACGAGAUUAAUGAACAAGUAAAUAACCUUACUUCUUGGACAUAUGAAGAGCUAGUUGAUUAUCCAUUUCAUUGUGCAUACAUUCUUCAUAUACAUGAUUCGGACACAGUAGUGUAGCUUUAAUAUUCUGUUAUUACAGCCUUGUAUACCUAUCUAUCUGUUUAUCUACUUGUGCCCACUUGGACCUAGUGGGGAGACCGGCGGAGUCGGCGGCCGAACCCACUGGGAACUAUGGAAGAUAGUUCUCACCCCACUCUUUUCAGGUUCGAGCUCGGGUGUCCCCGGCGAGCGCGAGGAUCGUGGUAAGGGCUUAGCACCCUAGUUGCAUUAGCUAUCUACCCAUUUUGUAUUAGCUCUACCCUGUACUUAUGUAUGAGAAUAGAUGUUGUAUAGGGUGAGGUUCGAGAAUGCUUGUACAUAUGUUUUGGAAGAAUGUAAAGAUGGAAUUAAAUGUAUUAAGUUGAAUGAAUGCAAUAGAUAAAACUUUCUCUCUUUAUUUACUUGUAUGUCUCAUACUUGUAUCUUGCUCUUGUUUGUUGGCACUGGUGGUGCUCCUUUUGAUCGUGUAUCUAUGAAUUGAUCUCCUGGGUAAAUUCUUAUACAUGGUCAGUUGGCUUAGCCUUGGGCGGACAGGGGAGGUCCUGUUCGUUCGGCGUCUGUUUGGCGCGCCCGAACCGGACCAAAUUGGUAGCGGUCUCGGGGCGUGACAGUCUUCCUGUUCCAGCCAUCCGGGUGGCCGCUGAUCUACUGAAAGAUGAGCACGAGUAUUCUAGGGUGUCGUAGACCUCUAUUGCUCACCUUAAUUGGGUUCUACGAGGCUCUGAUUGUCUAAUUCAGAGAUGUCUCUACCGAUGACUUCUGGAACUAAGGUUUAAGUAGAGCCCCGGUGCGCUCCUCGGCCUCCAUUCGUGCUCCAAACAGCGAGCAUAGGCUUCGGCCCGUCGAGAACUAUCAGCAAGCAUUGCUGGUUCGUCUUGGAACCUUGCGGCGUUUGGUAAAGCAUCAUCUUUAUUGUUUUUAUAUUCAUAGUUGUUGUUAUUGGAUAGUGUAGGGGCUUUUAUGAAAAUUGGACAAUUCAGAUUGCCUCGGGCAGUGUGAGAUCGCUAUUUGUGAUCCCUAGACUGGGUGUCCAAGGUCCCGUGGCCUUCGCGAAGUCCAAUUCUAGUUUCGUUUAGUUUUUCGGCAAAAUCGCUAGCGGAACACGACGGUUGAUGUGGGGUUCACUUUUUAUUGAUGUGAAUGCCCUAGGUUUGUCGACAAGCCUUGUCAGCUGGCUGCUCUCGUUGCCUCAGGUAUUCCAAGACAACAAGUGAGCGGCGGAGGGUUUCGAUGCCGAAAACAGCAUUUCCAGAGACCCGAAACGGCAUUUUGUAUGUUAUUGUAUUUAUAUGUCAAUUCAGCAUAUGUUUGUUAUCCGAACACCUAAAUUGGUGUGUUUUGGGACAACGGGUGACCUAAGGUGUACAUCAGUACAUUCCAGGGUAUUUCAGUGUGUACGGGAGUGUUCCGGGAGACUUUCCGAAAAUUCUGGUGGUUCCGAAGUUGUGUGUUUGGUGUUUUGAGCCGACUAGGUUGGACCUUAACUGGUAGCGUCUUUCGUAGGUCCGGUCGUCAAUCCAGCACGCCUUGGGUGUUAGGUGUUGUGGCAGUUUCAGAUGUGUGCUUCGAUCCGAAGUCGGUACAGUGAUGUUAGCUCAGUGACGUUCUUCCCUCACCGCUUUUCGUUGUCUUGACACAUUAUUUGUUAAGAACUACACCAUUAGACUUCCAUUUAUGUUGCUCUACUUCUGCUCUCUCAUGAUUUAGUAGUAGAAUGGUGCCUAACAAUAUUUUUCACAUGACCUCUAUCUGUGGGACCUAGUUGGUUGGUGACUAUGAGUUUGGUGAUACAUAGGUGAUACGAUUUUGGACAGAUAUCUAUUGUUGACUUAUUCUCGGCUAUUCACCACCUAAUUGACUAUUGAACAUUUUGCAUCGAUCGUCACAGCUGAUGUAGCAGCAUGUCACAAAUACGAGCAGUUUGGCCAUCACAACGGUGUUCUUUUCCGAGAAAGUGAUCGUUUAUCCGACCCUUGAGCCCUUUGCAAGGUGCUAGUUAGGGUUAUGUGCCGGUGUGUGAAUGUAUACUGUAUAAUAUUUUUUAUAUAAUCUGAUUAUCUCUUUUAUAUAUUGUUGAUUAUAUCUGUUAAAUUAUAUUUUAAAUUUCAAAUUAAGAAGAAAAUUUUGGAGCAUGUUAUAUUAUUGUAGACCAGAUGCAUGCAAUUUUUUUGAAGUGAAUAUGAGAGAAUAGAAAGGACACGUGUCGCCUCCAUACUCUAUGAUGUGAUGGAACUCUCUUUAAAUACAAAGUAUAGAUAUAGAUGCAUGCAAUUUUUUUGAAGUGAAUAUUGGCAAAUAGGGAGGACAUGUGUCGCCUACAUACUCCAUGAUAUGAUGGAACUCUCUUUUAAUAUAGAGUAUAGAUAGAUAUAGAUAAUAAUAUAUAAAGGAUAUUUAUAUACUUUUACCCGCAUUUAAGGAGAAAAUACCAUUUUAUGCACCCGGUGUGUAAGUAAACAUAGAUCAUAUUUAUUUAAUUAGAUUGUAAUUUUAUAAUAUUAAUUAUUAAAAAUCAUGAAAGGUUUAGUGCAGGCAAUGUUUAUACAUGAGUGGUUGCGAGGAGAAACUAUCUCACGCACCGGGUGUGUACUUAUAUCUUAUAUAUACCACAUGAUAAUUCUUAAAAAUCAUGAAAGGUUUAGUGCAGGCAAUGUUUAUACAUGAUGAAGAUCACGUCUAUUAAAUUAUAGUUUAAUUUUUUUAAUAAUUAAAAUUAUGUUUAGUAAAUGUUAUAUUUUAAUAAACCGGGUACAUGAAAUAUUCUUAAAGUUAAAGUGGAAGAAUUGAAGGGGACACAUGUCCCUUCCUAAUCCGCUGACAUGACCCAACUCUCUCGAGAGAAAAAGUAUAGAGAGAGGAAAAUUUUUUUGUUGCACCUAGUGAUCACUAAAGCUCCAUACACCUAGGGGUGUAAAACGGGCCGGGCGGCCCGUGGCCCGCCCGGCCCGGAACGGUUGCGGGCCCGGCCGUGGCCCAGCACGACCACUGUAGUACCCGGGUCGUGCCGGGCCGGCCCGGCUCUUCGGGCCGUGCUGGGCCGCAACCUGGGGCCCAACGGCCCGGCACGGCACGGCCCGAAACGGGCCUGGGCCGUACCGGGCCGAGGAGAAUCGGUGGCCCGGCACGGCACGGCCCGAUUGGGCUGUGCCAGCCGGGCCAGCACAGCCCGGAACCCCAGGCCCAAGGCAAGUUGCCUUGGGCCUGGGGUUUGAUCUCUCCCCAGGAGAUCUCCUCCCAAGGUUAUUUUGGUCCAAUGGACCAAAGAAAUUUGGUCCAUUGGACCAAGGUUUAAAGUGCCGUGGCACGGGGGCGUGCCGCUACGUCCUUGGCACGGUACGGCACGGGCACGCUUGCGUGCCGACACGUGGCACGCUUGCGUGCCGACAGAUACGCACGACCUCCUACUGGCACGCUUUGGCACGAAUUUAUUUAAGUUUUUUUGGUUCCAGUAAGCUUUUAUAAUGUUAUUUUGAAAGAUUUAGGCAAGCUAUUAUUAAUUUUUGCUAUGUAUAGCUUAUUAUACUCAUCAAUUAACAUGCAUGUAAGCAUUCUGUAUAUAAAGUACAACUAUACCUGAUGUAGAAUAUAAAUUAAAAUUCUUUUAUUUUUAUUUUUUUUUAUUUGAAAAGUACAACUAUACUUGCUGUAACAAUUGAAAAUUCUUUUGUUUUUAAUUUUUUUAUAAUUUAAAAAAUUAUAACAGAUAAAAUGAUAAAAAAUUUUAUUUUUUCUAAAAACGUUUCAAAAUCUAUAUAUUGAUUCGAUUAGGAAGUAUAUAAUAACUAGAACAACUAGAAUAGUACCGCAAUUACAUCCAUAUUUUUUUUAUUCUUUUAAAAAAUAUCUAAUCAAAAUUUGUUUAGGAGAUCAAUUUUUGUUCCCCUGAUUCAUCGAAAACUUCGCGGUGCGACAAAUUUUGACAAAAUAAUUUGCGAAGAAAAAAUAGAUGUCUAUGGUGAUUUUAGAGUUCUACUACAAUUAAAUUGAAGGUAGAGUCAUGGUAUGUACGAAGUAAACGUCGGACACUGAAGAGGAAGUAGACAAAGACUGUAGUGUUCUAGUCUAAGAAACUUAGGCCUCCUGAGACUAAGAGAAAUAUCUAGACACCUUCUACCGUACCUUGUAUAAAAGUUGAGUUCGUGUGUUAACGCUAUACCGGCACUAGACGCUAAGUUACUCCAAACGUGGAAAAGUAGUGGUCAUUAAUAAAGGAAGAUGUGUAAUUUAAAAUUGAAGCAAAAAAAAUGAAUUAUACGAAUUAUAUGUCAAAGAUUACGAAGCUAUUUACAAUGCUGUAUCCAAUCUGCCGAAAAUACGAGUCGUUCUGGACACCGAUAUGUAUACAGACAAUUAGGAUCACGCAGACUAGUCCUAGAAGUUGUCCAUAUGUACCAGAACACAAAUAAGAAAGACAAAGAAAAAAGGGAACGAACUCGUAGUAUAAUAGGAUUUAUGGAAGUCAGAAAGAAAGAAUCUCCUCUUUGGUUCUGCAGAUUAUCGUAUCGUCACCAAACCCUUAUAGCGUAAGUUAUCGAUCUAAUUAAACAAGACGUUCCUUUUAAACCGUUAACGUUCAUGGAGAUAACGUACCGUAUUAAACCAGGGAUCGGUCAGUCUUGUAAUAUCAUUCCCUUCUACAACUCCUAAGUAAUUAAUGAUAACUUCGUUUGUUCAUCAAAUCAGUACUACUCAACCAAUGUUCUAAUACAAUACCCCAACACACGAAAUAGAGUGAUUCGUCAAACACACUAUCAACGGUUGGUUAUGCUUAACUUAAGGCAACAAGUUCAUUGGAAUAUGGUAAAAUCUAAACAAACGUAACUUGACCGACUCCAUAACUCCAGCCAUAUUCUUACUGCACUGACUUUGGUUCUAUGUACCAUAAUAGUUCUACAAGAGAGAAACUUACGACCGUACUAGAUACAGAUAAUCCAUAAACAUAUAAACCGAUCAAGAGAACCUAGAACCGUUUGACAUGAAGUUUUGACAAUCCGUGUGCUCUUCGUUGUUUUAUCGAUCUCUCAAAAGUUCAAACUUCAAUAAAAAUAUUUUAAUUAGUAUAACACGCAUUUUUUCGUAAAGACAGCGCAGCUGUUCUCUCUCCAUUGAUACUUUUCAGUCCUAGGAAAAGAGAGACACGUUGUUCAAAUUUACAUGAUAAUUUAAAUAGUCUUUGUUAACAGAGUAACAGGUCUUCCUUACGCUCUUAAGUUAUUAACCGAAAUGUAUCAUCCCAUUGGUAGAGAAUUAAACUUUGGUGGUUGGACGAGUUUAGACCCUGGUUAAAAGACAAUUCCGACUGAUGAGGGACGACCUACAUAUUUGAAUCUACGUGAUAUGACGACUAAAAACUACGUUGUUUUAUUUGUCUUAUUUCACCUUAACAUUUACUACGGUUUAAUCGUAAUUUAGUGUAACAAAUAAAAUAAAAAUAAAAAUAAAAAUGAAAAUAAAAAUAAAAAAGACAAACGUCGUAGUUGACACCUUAGAACGUGUUUCUUGAUGACGAAAUGGAAAACCGUCCCCACGCAAAUGAAAUCCCUGGUGAAUGUGAGAAAAUUGGCUCCAUGACCGGGACAGUAUUCUAGGCUUCCUGUACAAGAUCGGAGUCCGAUUUAAAACCUUUAAACUUUUGGGAAGAGAUUACUCAUCAUAGAAUAUCAACGACACUAAAACACACGACUUACACUAUUACACAACGGAACUAUGUACACGACGUCCGCGAACAACAGGGUUUCGAACAAAAUCGACCAGCUAAUGGACGUGUUGUCUUACGUUGACAUAUAUAGAGAUAGGUGAGAAACGAGAAAUUUAUUACUACGAAGAUCAACAAACACGUCAGAAAAAACCCAAGUAGUAGUGGUACGUUCGUUGAACCGAAAGACCGAAGUUGUAUAAACGUGAAAUAUUUACAGAUAAACUGAGUACGUAAACAUAGUACCUUUUUUGUUGAGAACAAAGCGAUAACCUGAGACUUAGAUGAGACACGAAAAAUAUACCACCGAAAAAAUACGGGUAGGGUUCCUAAUUUCACGGGUAGCCGUGCCCGGCAUAGCACGGUCGUUCUAUAGCCAUGCUAUGUUGGAGGCACGGCUACUGUGUUGAGUUUUGGGAGAUAAAAACUUUAAUCAUUCAUUGAAAGAGUUAUUUCAAGUUUUCUAAACUAUUUUUAUGUAUUAUUUAUUAACCAUAUAAACAACGGCUUUUUUAUUUAUAAAAUACGGUAAUGCACAGCUAUGUAUAUAUAAAAAACACUAGCUCUACGUAGCCGUGCCGAGCUGUACAUGACACGGCCGUUCAAAAGUCGUGCCGGGGCACGGUGCUGUGAAUUUAGGAACCAGGUAGGAGAGAUAAUGGUAAUAAACCGUACUUCAUGAAAAAGACCAAAGAAGAAAAAAUAAAAAACCGAUUGAUCCAAUUAGAUCUGGGUUUAUAUUCUUCAUAGAGUCUCGAAUCUAGUACCGGACUCAAGGUGUUACCACAACGACGACCUAACUCUGAACGAGGAAAAGUCCAUUUGGAUAGACAGAAUCACGAACUAUACGGAUAGAUCCCCGCACCAACGUGUCAAUUCAUCAUCGAGACAAAACGUGGUACAAUAGACGUUGAAGAAAAAAUAACCAAUGAGAAGUACAAAUUAGGUCCCUUUUUACAGAUCUUGUACCUAUGUCAUAUUGUUUGGACUUCUCGGUUUAACAUGAGUACGACCAGAAGAAGAACGUAAUCCUGACGUACCUGUAGAUGCUCAAAACUGCUAGUGUCUACAUAUGUCUAUGGAAAGGGUCCAUAACGAGACAAAACAAACAAACACUAGUUUAAAAAUUACUUUUGUCUACCAGGAAGUAAGAAGGUGACAUAGACUAACAAUAAUAAUUCUAGUCUUGAACACGAAUUACGAUACUACGGUAAAAAAGAGUAAUAUUAAAGAGUGGUGAUAACAAUAAAGCAAUCGAUCUAGGUUUCUCUUAACAUGUACCGAAUCAAUGAAACAACUUCCCGUGUAACCGUACGUUAAUUAAAGAACAUUACUUACGGUGAGCUUAUUAUGUGGUAGUCCAGCCAAGGUGUUAGUUCAGUACGGAAAACGACGAAUCGGAUCAAAUCCUACGCAACAGGUUUGUAUGGACGAAAGUACGAAAACUUCCGAAACUUGAAGGAAUUCGCGAAAUCUUGAAGGGAGGAUACCAAGUUUUAUUACCACCUUAAACGAUAGCCUCUUAGGAAGAGGUUACAAUCAAGGGACAAGGGUGGUGGUAAAGUUUCGUAACCUCUUCCUUUUAAGAUCUCGUUAUAAUCUAAAAAAAAAAAAAAAAAAAAAAAAAAACCCGAGAGAUUUGGUACUUUCAUCCACGUAAACCAAUUGUGUAAGGGUUUGAUUCGGAAUGUCACCAAUUGGAGGAAGUGUUAUCGACAUUAGGCAGUCUUACCGGUUCUUGCUGAAAUCAUAACCUCUUACAACAACACAUAAUCUGACCAUCUGGACUAUCUAGGUACAACCGGAAAUCUAUGUAAUUAUAACUACAAAUUAAGUGUACUUUCACGAUGCUAUACAAUAAACCGAAUGGUUUAUAGAGAACAAGAUCUGUUUGUUCCAAAUAUCUCAGUUCUAUAAAAUACAACCUAUUUUACUUCUCCUAAAACCUCUCCUAACGGAUCAAAAUAAAUUCUGAACUAUCGAAAACACCACCAACUCGUAGAACAAGUGUGUACGGAUACGUCAGUUAAAGACGUAGACUCUUACUUAGUACGUGCCUCUAACAACAGACAACGACUAACACAUAGUGUAGACAUGAUAAAGGUCGUAUUGAAACUAGAUGAUAAACGAGUAGUUACUUUAAGAACAUUUUUUAAAUGUUUACCAUUUACAAACAAGAGAGGACUAGGGAGUUUGGACGAUAAUCGUAAACGGAUAUACGUAAAAAAAAAAAAUUCGUAGACUAUUUAAAGUGGACUAUUGUAGAAGGUUAGUUAUGAAAGCAAUUACAGUGUACGUCAAGGUUCUAGGAAGGAAAGAUCAACCUAAAUGUUAAAACCUGAACAAAAUGGAAUAUCGCUGGAAAUAAGUACUUUUCGUCGACGUUGUAGAACGAAAGUAUUUUUUUUUUUGGGGUGUACGAGACUUAAGUUGCAAAAGAAACGCGUCCAAUAGUAAAAAAACGUGAGACAAGUCAGACUAACCCAAAUACCAAAUAGUAGAAUAAAUCGUUACAGUAAACACACUACUAUAAUAGAAGAGAAUACACAACGAAAACCCACUAUAAAAAGACUUUGUCUUCAACUAGAGAAAACGGGAAACAUCAAUACGUUAAGAACAGAAAAUUCAAAAUUGAAUAUUAUACAAAGAGUAGCAAACUUGUGAACUAUAGGUCCUCGUGCUAAAAUGAUGACAACCCCAUAAUGAACCAUACCGCCGUAGAGUGUCCCCCUGUUACGUAGGACGAUAAAGUUUCCAUCAUUUAACGUAAAAUUUCGAAAACAUAGUGAUAGGCAUUCACAGGUUACAGUGACUUUACGACAAGUCAGUGUAAAAAAACACGUUUUAGUUGGUGUUUUAAGAACAAACACAUAGACGACAUAAAAAAACUGACGGAAAAAAUUCUCUAACUUUCUUCUACAAACAUCAAGAAACAUUAUACCUACUAGUGGAAUCAAGAAAACGAACGUAGUGUUGAGGAAUCCUGUUAAAGUGUAAAAUCGAAUAUUUAUAAAAACAUUGAUGAAUAAAUCUACGAAGUGGAGGUAUAACGAAGAGCCGAAGGAAGUAGGAAAGAACUGGACCUCAACGGUUGUUAAGACGUCCAUGAUGACGAAAGAUAACGAAACUUAAGGGUAGAAGAAUAGAAAGUAAACAAUUGAAUAAAAGAAUAGAAAUUGAACGUAGUGAUUUCAAAAUGAAUCACACGACUAAAAAGCGAUGUCAUAAUGGUUUUGGUACAGUACAAAGAAAUUUUCCUUCAAAAUUUUAUAAAUAUGGAAGACUUUAUUCUAAAUACCUAACUUGCCUAUCCGACUUAAACUGAAGUAACAAGUAAUCAGAAAAGUUAACAGUAUGUCAGUCGACGUAACUACCCUUAACCCGAAGAAAUACUUCCUAGUAGGGUAGGUAAUUGUUACUUCUACGAAAACCAUUAAUCAAAAGAAGAAUGUAGAACAUACCUAGAAAACAACCAUCUAACUUAAAAUGAAGAAACCAUAGUAUUAUAACAGUGAGAAAAGACAACUCGAAACGUCGUGAUCGUGGUUAUUUAUAUUAUCUCUCCUUAGUAAAAUAUAGUAAUAUACGGUUCUCACGAUCUUUCCGAAGAUCGUGGAGAAACAUUGGAAAAACGAGUCCCUAAAAAGCAAUCAGAAGUUUACAAAUAAAUUACUUCUCUUACAUCUUAGAGACUAACAACAUAAAAAAGAUUUUAGAAAUUCUACCGUGGGAAAUGAAUACUCUGUCCUGAAUUAUGGUCAGAUUUCACCAUUUAAUACUAUAUCUAUCCACCUUAACAAACAAACAAAAAAAAAAAAUUCAAGACCUUCUAAAUAUACGAAAACAUCAAAUUAGUCUUUGAAUAAAUUAAUUGACGAGAAAUUAACGGACAUCCCACUCUAGCCAGCGUCUUCACCACCUCUAUUACAUGAGCUUUCUCUUCCUAUAAGACAACGACGUCCUAGACGCGAGCCUGAACAACGGAAUCCAUAUAUCUUAUAAUAACUCCUUUACUCUCCAUACACAAAAGAUAGAAAUUGAUUGUCCUUCCUAAACUUACACAAAAAUUUUCCUGCUCCGUUUCUACGUUAACCAAAGUACCUGUGAAAACAUCUGGCUGAAAAGGUCAUGUAGUCGCCGUUCCCUCAAAUGUUACAUACCAAACAAUUGAGAACGAAAAAAUUAAAAAGGGAUAAAAAUUAAGGUAUACCAUUAACAAGCCGAUUCUAUAUAUUAUAUGACAAAACUAUGGAAAUUAAAAAUUCUUAUUACCUCGUUAAAUCUUCUGUCGUACCUCUAAUAGUAAAGAUUUAAAUCAGUGAUAUAUAAAAAGACUUUUUUUUAAAACAUAUAAUACAUAUUAUACAUGAAAUGUACAUGUAAACAGAAAGAUACUACUAAAUGUGUACAUAUAUGGUAACAAAACUAAGAAGAGAACAAAGAAAACUUACUAUUGUUACUUCACUUACUUAGCCCUACCCAUCGUAAAUAGUUUUUUUUUCUAAAAACAUUUGUUGUUGUAUAGGAUGAAGGGAUACUACUGAUUGUGUGCGGGCACAGGACCAGAUCUGGUAUCAGUUAGAGUGGGUUGACGAAUAUAAUAUGAAGAGCCUCGACCGUAACAAAAUUGACUUGAUAACCUGAUUUGAGUUCUAUAGAUAUACUGGAUUGAGUUCUAUAGACAUACUGGAAAGAUCAAGGAUAACCGAAAAAAGUCCUCUUUAACAGUUUGAGUUCGGUUGAAUGUCUACUAGUUUUGGCGUUACACCCCGUCCAAGACAUAAAGAGAAAGUCAUAAAAGAAGAGGAAUCUAUAAAAUAUCGAAGGAAAGGAAUCUUUAUUCUUAUAACUCCUUGAAACAAAAACUUCAAGUUAAACGAAACCUCGAUAAUCACAAUAAACGAAGAGAAAAGUCUACUACCUACCUUGUGUUAAUUUGUAACUACAGUGACGUGGUCCUCGUUAUUAACGAUAACGCAAUUAUAAAAACUUCCAACUCAUCAUUACGUAAAGAUAGUUGUUGGAGAACGUAAAAAAGCUAGGUACAACAUCUAAAAACUUCAAAGAUGAUAUAACAAAACUAUUUUUUAAGUAGUACGUCUGACUUAGUCUUCAUUACCGACGAGCUGAAGUUUAAGGCUGGUGAGUAAAACUUAACGUUAUGCACUCCGGACUAAAAUAAUACGACGCAUGAUAACGUGCUUUAGAUUAUAAUACCUCGUCCACUUAAGAUUAAUGUGAAGUAAUAAAUUGGAACUUUUUUCUUUUCUACCAUAGGUCGAUAUAUAAAAACGUUAGCACAUCUUAUGUCGGAAGAUCUCUAACCUAGCUUAGAGUUGAGGGACUUUAACACUUUCUACCCUAGAAACUUCAUCCCCUACCCCCUUAGUUACCACUGCUUAUACUACGUCUUCGAGAACAAGUCCGAAUACAGUUACAUCAGUGACCUCGUACGUAUCGUGAACCAUAAAGUGACUCGGACACGAGAAUACACGGAAAGGUCAACCACAACCCGGUCAAAUAUCAGAAAUAACAGCUUAUAUAUAUACCACGGGGAUAUACAGAGAUAAAUCCUCCAAUACGACUACCUAACAAGGAUAAAGAGGAAAGUACGAUAAAAAUUAAAACAACAAUGAAGGAUUUACUAUCAAACGAUGGAAUUUUAUAACGGAAGUUACACAUAUUUACUUCACCAGACAUUCCUUGCUUUGAAGAUAUCCCUACGAGGGGUGGUACUCUUCCCCAACUAGUGGUGUCGAAAUGUCAUAAUGACAUAAAUCUCGAGAACACGAGGAUAACAAAACACCUUUCCAAAAAGUUAACGACAAUUUACGGUAGUUAACGAAUAACAAAAGUCCUAACUUCAUACGACCGUGGUUUUUACCACUACGGGUCCUCGACGAAGUAUCAAUACGACAGAUAAAAGAGUUACUCCAUUAGUAAGAGACAUUCGAAUACGUUUAAACAAUACACGAGAUUAAAAUAAUAACAGAAUACGUCUAUUUCGUAUAUGGACAACGUUCAGGACGACGUCAUGGUUUCCCCAAUGACGUCAUACAUCUAGCACCCUGAGACCUCAAUACGAAUGUAGAGUAACAAGAUAGCGAAAGAGACCAAUCUUAUUAUUCUUAGGAAACGGGUGUAUAAAACUAUGAAGAUAGUGAAAGAAACCUCAAUACGAAUGUAGACCUUCAUGCACUAGAAGGUAGUCAUCAAGGUCAACUAAAAGUAUCUAACAAGACAAAUGUAUUUGUAUAUAACAAAGCAAAUGUAUUUUCGAAGGAAAGACACAUUACCUCUAGGAAAAAUAUUAUAAAAAACAAAAAGAAAUACAAAUACGACGUAUUACGGACCAGAGAAUGUCUAACAUCGAAACAACUAUUUUCAACUAGAAAAGGGUCAACUAAAGGUAACAAAAAGUCAAAUGUAUUUAUAAAGGAAAGACACAUUUCCUCUAGGGAAAGUAUAAAAGUAGGACGUAUGACGGAACGGAGAAAGUCUACAUCGAAAGAAGAAAAUAGUCAAUGAACUAUGAAAAGAUACGUCAUUGAUCAAAAAAAAGGGGAAGAAAGUAUAGCACUAUUACAAAAGAAAAAAAAAAAACCGAUCCAAUACCGUCCAAGACCUGUAGAGGUCUGUAAAUCUAACGAUUCUAUGGAAGCUCCCGCUUCAAGACGUCUACCCGUAUACUUAAUACCUUAGGUCUACCCACAUUCAAAAUUUAAAAUACUUACUUUAUCCUACUGAAUACGGUACGCUGACUUCUUUGCUUAGUAGGUACUAAAAACCUUUAAAGUCGUUCGAAUGUACCAAUUUCGCCGAUUUUGACUUAACUUUUAAGUACAGAGUAGUUUAAUCCUUUCCGUACGUGGGUGUGUUCGUAAUUUUAACACUUCGAAACAUCGUAAACUAUUAGAUAAGUGUAAAAACGUUUCUUAAUUAAAAGAACGACGUCAUAAUAACAGAAGAUUAACCUAUUCGAACGCAUAUAAGAAUAUACACGACAUACCUCCUUAAAUAGAAUGGGACGAGAUGGAAAAGAGAAGGACUUGUAGUUACCUGACUACUAGUUGUACAAGAGCAACGGCGGAACAAGAUAAUAACUUGUAGUUGUCUAAGUACUAGUUAUACUAACAACAUCAAACUUAAUUGGAUGUAUAUAAUAGUACUUAUAUUUUUAAAGAGUGUAAGAGUUAAAUAUAACGAAAACAUCCAUUCGAACAGGUACCCUAAGAAUAAAGAGCCCCCGCCAUACGUUUGGAAAAGUUGGCCUUUGUCACGACAACGACGAGACAACUAAUGUGAAAUGGGAGCAAACGGAUGACCUGGUUUACUAUUAGCAACGGUGGAAGUCCAUACAACUAAAAAAAAGUAAACGUCGUACAACGUACAGAAUAGUAAAAAAAAAAGUAAUUCAACGCGACUAUUUAUAUAUAAGUACCACGGUGAAUAAAUCCGUAAAUCCGUAAACAUGUAUUAUCGACGGCUUAGAGCAACCCAAGUUUGCCGUCUACAACUAUGACCAGAUGGACACAUAACAGGUGAACUCCACUGUUAGUCUCUUUGUCUUAUGAUGCGACUCUGAUCGAUGACACUUCAAUGAGGAACAUAAAACGGUCUUGCGAGACACCAUACAUUAAAUAUUAAGUCGAACCCUUUAGAUAUUUUAAUUAACCCAAGAAACCAUUAAACAAUGGUAUUAAUAAGAUGGAUUAGUUGAGAGAAACGUUCCAACGUUCUUGCUCAGUUUAAAUUCACAUGAUAGGGUAUAUAAAAUCUUAACUUUCUUUCUUUUGAUUAUAUUACUUCACGGGAAAUCUAAAUGGCUCAUUAUACUUAUUAAUGAACAGAAUCAGAUCCUUUGACAUCAAAUCCUACGUAGUACAAAAAAUGAGUGAUAAAGGAGGAAAUCUUAUCUUAGAAGAUUUCUUUAUAAGACUCUUUCUGCAUUCGUUGUAUUAAGACACCUUUAACUUCCGUAUAUUUCAAUAAAUAAGUAAACGUCAACUUCUCACAAGUUCAAACACCAGGGUCUAUGACCGGGGUCAGGUAUCUCGAACAUGGACUUCCAGUCAUAGUUUUCUGCUUCAAUCCAAAAGAAAGUUUUGAAAACCGUCAUAAUUUAGGAGACAAUAAAACAUACGAAAUUUUCUUUUUGGAACCACCUCUAGGCCUCUGUUCUCACUAGGUAAAUUACCACCUGACAAUAUGUAAUUCGCUUUUCAACCUAGGACAAGUAUACGUCUACUGGGUCAACCUACGGUUAGAAACGAAAGCGCUCGUUACGUGUUCCAAUUUUCAUAAACGUUACAUCAGAGGUAUAUAAAUAAAUAAACGAAUAAAUAAAUAAAAUCUCAUCACAUGUAACUCCCCUUAAUUCAAGGAUCAGGAACGUCCAAAGACUGUGUAGUACGUAUUCGACAGGGUGAUGUUCUUAGUCGCCGUUCCUUUUGUCAAGCAUAUCAAGAAUUACAACUACGUCAAAGCUACGUUACGCAUAAUUGACGUCGACGUAAAUACGAAGCUCUUCUCAUCGAAAACGUGUCGAAACAAAACUGAGAAGGAUUCCACUUAUCUGUCCAAAGUCACAAAAGUCAUCUCAGCCUGAAAGUAAAAAGCUUUGAGUCCACGACUUAUAAGGAACAUUUUCAUGGUCACUGGAACACGUCAAGCUAAUCACGGAGACCUACCAAUAAAACAUCGAAGAACGGAAAACCGAACAGCAAGUCUGUGCUAUACGUAUUAAGGACUUAGACGACUAGUUGCAUUGGUAACAUAAUAUAGUCUUUUUAUAGAAUUUUACCGGAUCCGAAAUCUCAUAAGUCUAAGAAUGUCUUUAAAGUUAAAUGGAUCAAUCCUACGGUUAACUCUUUGAGUCGCUCGGAAUCUCAAAAGUCGAAGAAUGUCUUUCACGAUAAACUCGAUCAAUCAUACUGUUUACUCUUUGAGUCGCGCGGAAUAUCAUAAGUCCAAAAAUGUCUUUCAAAUAACUGGAUCAAUCGGACUGUUUACACUAUGAGUCGCUCGGAAUCUAAUAAGACUAAGAAUGUCUUUCAACUAACUGUGAACAAUCGUAAGUGGGGAAUCUUUGAAUAACAAAAACUACGUUCCUAGACUGUAGAAAACAACAUUUGUUUGUUAAUCAAUGUCCUUUUAGUAAACUACACCCAUUCGUCCACUUUUCACUUACAGUAAAACAAAUAAGUACUAAGAUGAAAACGACAGGACGAUUAUUCUUUUCCAAUCAAAGUUGUUCCUCACUGGAAAACGAUCCCAAAACAAAAGUCCUAGAUGUACAAGGGGAAAAAAAAUAAUUCCAACUCUGCCCUCUCUUACCAUCGUAAGUUAAGUGAGUACCGGAAAAACUCAUAAAAACAUAUUUACUUGAAUCGACCUAAACACUUUAGUAAUCCCAAAUCUUAAACACGUGGACGCCCAUAAUGUUAGAAGGCGUAAUUUGGAAAAAGGUGAAUUUUCACGAUAUAAAGAUAAUAAAAAAAGUUCUUAUUCACGGCACAGUGCCCCAGCACGUCCUUUGAACGGCCGUGCCAUGCCGUGCCACACACGACUCGGCAAAUCUACGCACGGCCAGUUUUUUUAAGAACACACGGCUGUGUAUUAUCGUAUUUUAUAAAUAAAAAAAAUCGAUGUUUUAAAAGAACGAUAAACAAUACAGAAAAACAGUGAAGAAAACUUGAAAUAACUCGUAUAAACAACCACUAAAUUGCUUAUCGAUUAAAACUCAACACCGUAGCCGUUCCUAUCGUCACGGCGGGGCACGGCACGCCGUGCCCCGCACGGCACGGCACGGGGGUUCUUCCCCCGUGCCGUGUCCCCCCCAGAGCCUGGGGGGGAUACACGGAGCCGUGUACGGGGCACGGCGAGCUCUGUCUCGCCGUGCCCACGUACACGGCGCCGUGUCACGGCGGGCACGGUCGAAAAAAAAAAAAAAUCAAAAAAACCGAAAAAAAAAAAAACCAAAACAGAGAAAAAAAAACAAGAGACCCUAUGUCUCGGAAGCGGGCCGGUAGAUAUAACGGAAAACAAGUGAAAAGAAAAUAAAAAAACUGUAACACAACAGAAAAACAGUUGAAAAAAAAAAGAAAAACCGACUACGGAAAAAAAAAAAAACGGAAAACCGAAAAAGAAAACUGAAAAAGAAAAAAGAAAACAAUUUAAUUUUUAAUAUUAAAUUGAAGAAUAAAUUGUUAUAUUUUCAUUUAAAAAUCAACUAUUUAGACUAGGUAUGGCACCCCCCGCUUCGGGGGGCGUGCGGGGAGCCUACAGUCACCACCCGAUGCCCGAGCCCGGACAGCCGGGCUCGGGAGGCGAAGGUGGUGUCUGUAGGNGGGCCCGGCACAGCCCGGCCCGGAUAUUGGUCACAGGCCGAGCCGGGCCAGGCCCUAGCCCGUUUCGGUCCGAAAAAUGUGGGCUACACCCCUACAUACACCAUACAGUAUACAUAAUUUUUGUUGGAAUAUCUAAUAAUUAAUACCACAAAAUAAUAUAUGAUAUAAUAUGUACAAUAUAAAAUAUUUAAAUAAUUCAUUAUACUGUGAAAAUUUAUUUUUUAUGCACAUCUCCAGAGUUGGUUUAUAGUGCACCAAAUGCGUCCAAUCUUCUUUUUGGACAUGUUGCAUACUCUCAUUGGCUCCUUAAACAGUGAGGUGGCUCAAUAUAGAACCAUUUUCUUGAUGUGAUGGAAGUCCCAAAUUAUGUAUUCUAUAGAUUCAGAUAUAAAAUUUGGACUUUGAAUAUAAAUUUAAAUUGAAAUUCAAGAGUUAAAAACAUACAAUUUUGAAUUCAACAUUUCAGCUUAAACUUUUUGAGUUUAAAUUUUGUUAUUUUAGAUUUAUUUAGUUCUAUUUAAAUCACUAAGAAGUCCUUUGAAAUUAAACUCGAAUUUGAACUCAAGAGUUAAGAAUACAAUUUGAAAACAACAUUUGAGCUCAAAGUUUAAAUUUCAGUUUAAUUUUUAAAUUUAAAUUUAUUUAGUUUUAAUUAAAUCACUAGAAGUCCUUUCAAUUCAAAAUUAAACUCAAAUUUGAAUUUAAGAAUUAAGCAUGCAAUUUAAAACUUAAAUUGAUCUUAAAAUUUAAAAUUUAAAUUUAUUUUAAAAUUUAAAUUUAUUUAGGUUUAAUUAAAUUACUGAAAACCCUUUGAAUGACUCCUAUGGGUGUAGCUUGGAAAAUCUCGAACAACCUCGAUCCAUCAAUAUCACGUGAUCAAUAUCACGUGAGUGAAGGAGAUGCUCGAAAUUUAAACUCAACAUUGAAUUUAUAAUUAAAUUGUAAAAUUUCAAUUUAAUUUACAACUUCAACAUAAAAAAAUUUUUAGAUUUAUUAUUCAAAUUAAAAAUUUGAAUUCAACGACAUUCAAAUUUUGAACAACCAACAUAUAUAAUGAAUUUAAUGUAUGAAUUCUUUUUUAAGAAUUUCAAAAUCACAAUUUUCACAAGUUUCAUUUAUAUAUUUUGUUUUGUUUUCACAAAUUAGAGAGGGCAAUUCUGGGAAAUUGCAUAUAUCAUUACCUAUAUUACAGAAAAUCUAAUUAUUAAACCAAACAAUAUUUUAUAUUAUUAAUAAUCUAAGAUGAAAUUACUGUGCAAACAUAAUGCAAUAGUACUACAUUUAUUGUUCCAGGAAUGAGAUGCUCCUUAAUCUAGCAAUUCGUGGGAAUCUUUCAUAAUGCGAACCAAACACACCCUAACAGCAAUUAUACCAAAAAUGUGAAUAUCACCAGCUUAAAGAAGAAAAGCUCACUUAUAUACUAUAGUAAAUAAAAGAAGCCAAAACGAAUAUAAUCAGAUGCCAAAAAUAUACUCACAUGCCAUCUUUCUUUGUUCGGUAUUCUAAGUAUUUUUUGAGGAUAUCAUCAACAUUUGGGGAACGAGGUAGCUUGACAAGCUGCAAAAGCACAACUGUAUUGAUUAGAAUAAUUCCAUAUUAAGAGAGUUUAAAUAAGGGCAAAUUUAAAAACCACCCUUGUGGUUUCGCACUUUCUCACUUUAGUAUCCUGUGGUUUAAAGUGUAUCAAUUUAGUAUCCUAUGGUUUUAUUUUUCUCUUUUUGUCGGCUCCUCUAUUAACAUUUCGUUAAAUUAUAUACAAAAAACUUCAGAUAGUCCACCUAUGUUGAUUGAAUAUGCACUUUAGUACCUUUUAGUUUUAACUUUGUCGCUGAUUUAAUAAAAAAAAUUAGUGGAAGAGAAAAUAAAAAGAGAAAAAUAAAACCACAGAGUAGUAAUCGAUACAGUUUAAACCACAUGGUACCAAAGUGAGUAAGUGCAAAACCACGGGUUGUAUUUGAAGUUUUUCCUUAAAAUAAUAUGUUAGAAUUUAAUGAUAGUGUCUCCCAAGAUUAAGACAAUAUUAUGUUGCAAAAGAGAACGCCAAAAGAACUCUGAACAGCCUAAUUAACAUAGCAACUAAAGUGAGAAUGAAGACAAAUGUGAUCCUAAUGAAGAAGGUUAUAUCUGUAAUAAAGAUGACAUAGUUUCAGAAAUUAUUGGGAAAAAAAUAUAUAUCUUAAAUACAGGGUUUGAUGAAGAUAUAAGUCUAUAAGUUUAACAAGUAAAAUCUCCAUUUUGAUUUGCCUUGAUAGCUAUUAGCUCCAUUAUACGAGGUAAUAUGUUGAACUAGUAAAAAUCAUAUAUUCCUACUGUAAGUGCUACUCUUACUUGACUUUCUUAACUUCCGCUUGCUGACUGCAGGUCACUAUCUAAGGUACACAUUCCUAUUGAUAUGAAAAUGUGAUGUGAGAUACAAUUCAAAAAUGUUUUUGAAGAGGCACGUAAAACAUUGGUGAGAUAAGGGGUUGUUUGAUUCCUCAAAAAAUACCCCAGAAAAAAGUUUUCUGGCUGGAAAAAUAUUCUCCGUCCAUUUGGUUCCAAGAAAAAGUAGCUUUACUAUAAAAGUUUUUUUUCCCCUUGAAUUUCACCAAAAAGCUAUUACAAUCACUCUCAGAUCCUAGCCCGAUGCAGAUUUACAAUCUUUUUCUUAUUAGAUUAUGAUUAUAUACUUAUUAGAUUAGAAAAGAUAUAUUAUAUGGAAUAUCUACGAUAUUGGGAAUAUCUUUUAAUUUAUUCUAUUCUUAUUCAGUUCCUUUAUCAUAUUAGGAUUAUUAUAAUGAUUUUAAGCCUAUUAAUAAAAGACACUCCUUUAUUUUAUUAAUAAAGAAGUGAGUUCCUUUUAAUGGCUUCCAGCUCAGACUAAAUUAGAAGAGAAGGUCCCUCUUCCUCAUAGAGUGAAAAAGCAUAUCUAAUAGAGAUGUUAAAUAUAUCUAUCGGAAUUAAAGCCUAAGAAGUGGGAGAUCCUAAUCAAAGUCCCGUUUUGUUUUCUGAAUUUUCUUUUUGGAAAACAAAAACCAAGUUUCAAGCAAAAUACAUGGAAUUUCCCAGGAAAACAAUUUUCCACAAGGAUUGCCUAUGCCACCUUGCUGCCACGUGUCUAUGCUGAGGCCAUGCCAACACGUGGCACGGGGUCGUACCAAUACCGUAUGGACAAAAUGGUUUUCUUUUUGCAUUUUUUUUUAAAUGCUUUGCAGUUUCUUGGAGGUAAAAAGUUUCAUAAAAGAUUUUCCAUAAGUAAAAUAUUUUGAUCUUGUAAAUCUUCUUAACAUUUGGAGCAGUUAGUAAGCUUUCCUACAGCUGCUCCAAUGCAUAAUAAAAAUUGCAUAAUAGGACCAACUUUCAAGUAAAAGUAAAUAGAUAAAUACAAAUCAGAAGAUUUCCUCCAAUUUCUUUUAUCAUUUAAGUCUAGUGAAUUUUUCCCAUGGUAGUGUUUUCACUUGUGGUAAUGUUUUCCUACAAAUUUUUAUCAAAUUACAAUUUUGGUUUUCGUUUCAUGCGCAUACUUUCAUAAUAAAAUAUAGAAUAAUUUCUUUUACUUAUUAUGAUGUUAAUGACUCUAUUCCUGGUAAGUAGUGAAGGAUAUAAUAUAUAAACUAUUUUUAUAAUCAUUAUUAGUUAUAUUAAUAGAGUCUAAAAAACUAAAUUUUCAUGAUAAUUUAAUUAAAAAAAAGGUGCCAAAUGGCAAUGUGUGUGAAAGUGCUGGUGGCGUGCCACUCGCAUGGGGGGUUGCCGACAUUGGCAAGCCCUGUGCUCUCGCACCAUGUCGUGCGGCUGGCAACACGGGCCAUGCUACUAGCACGACAAUCCUUGAUUUUUCUACAAUUUUCCGAAGAACCAAACACACCCUAAAUAUGCUGCCUCUGUGUCCAUUCAAGGAGAAAUCAUUGCCUGCACCCGUGUAUCUAUAGAUCUCAUAUAUCGUAUAGUUAGCACCUCAUAUUUGAUGAUCAAUAUCUUAAAAUCAAAAUCUACUUUAGUAGAUGUGGCCUAUUUUAUUUAAAGAGUCUAUACAUAAAAAUUCAAAAUUUCUAAACACCUAUAGCCUCGGCAUUAGUGGUCCCAUAGGUCAACAAAACAGGGGGUCAUUGUUCAAUAUAUAAGAAAUCAGCACCCAAACUACAUAAAUUGCUGUAUAUAGAACUUUUGAAUAUCAUAGAACACAUCCUAUGAGUUAGAUUCUAUAUCUAAGAUCUAAACUCUAUAAUAGGGCUUUAAGGAGUGUAGUGUAUGAUAUCUAUGCAUACAGCGAGUGUGAAAUGGAAUAUGAACAUCCUAGAGAUAGGAGGGUUACAGCCUCGCAUAUGUGAGGACCUCUUUUUUUUCACCACCCAAGAGUCAGUGCGCUUUUUGUUACUUUCUUUUUUCGUCUAUAUAAUGGUUACUAUGUCCAUCGUUACAACACAGAAUAUUCAAUCCAAAAAUUUACGAGUCUUAAGGUUAGGUAGUGAAAUCAAGGCUUUCGAAGUUCAGGUAUCUAUUUCAAAAGCACUAUAAGGUUAGAUGGUAAAAUCAAUAGGUAGUCAAAUCAAAACAUUUUAAGUUAAGGUACCUAUUUAAAAAUACGUUGUAGUUCGGGUAAUGCCUAUAAAAACUUUAUUAGGAUAAAAACAAUUCAACAAAGUCAAUCAACUAUUUCAACUAAUCAACUUAUCUAAGAUUCCAUCCGAAAGAGAGAGGGAAAAAAAGAAGAAAAAAAAUUUGACAGAAGCAUGAUAUGAACUAAUCACCUCUUCUAUAAUUGCCAUCUUUAUGAAGGUGAUGAAUAAAAAAUAGAAUAGGAUUAUAUUUUAUUUUACUUAAUUUAUUACUUGUCGUAGGAAAUUGCAAAUUCCAUAUUUAGUGGGAUUAGUUUUCUUCGAAUUUCAAAAAUGGUCAGAUAGAAUCCUUCGUUUGGCAGAUUUGUUAGAUUCAAAUUUCAAAAAAAUAAAAGUUGUUUAGGGACGAGGUAGUAUUACUUGUACCAAGGAAUUUGUCAGGUUCAGAUCUAUUAUUAAUAAGGCCCACUAGGGCCUAUGUAGUCAAGUAUGAAUGAAUGAAAAUUUUGGAAAUUAGGGUUUUCCUAAUUGUCUUCUUCUUUCCUCUACUCGACCUGGCUUGGCCUUUAUCCUCUCUCUCCCUUUUUUCUCUCUAGGCAUGGAUUGGCUAAGUUUCCUUACCUCUCUCUCCUUUUAUUAUUUUAUUUCUUUAAGCAAUUUAAAGUUCUUUCGAACUUCGGAUUCAAUCAUAUCUACCACAAACUUUUCCAGAUAAUGUCUAUGGCACAAAUUCCAAUUAACAGGAAACUACACACUGGCAGAUGUACAACAAACUAAGAUAGCUGGCUGUUGCAUUACUUAUAAUUAUCGGAAUAGGAAAGGACAAGUGAAAGAUUUGAACUACCUUGCCCAGCUGCGUUACAAACUCCCAAUCAUCAACCAGCUGCUUCUUAAGGGCCAAAGGAAAUUGUGAUAUCAAAAGUUUCUCUGGUAAUCUUCUGUCCUUCUCCUGAAAUUAGCCAAAAGAGUGAAAUUUCAACUUGACACAAUUCUAUUCAAAGCAUAUAAAAAUCUCAGAUCAAGAUUCAGCAUAAGUAUAUUAAAUGCUAAUUGAUAAUAUUAUCUCCAAAAGACACAAAGCUAACAACAGAAAAACAAAAGUCGGCCCUCAUUAUCACAAACAUUCUAGAAAGGUGAAUAACAUGGCACCAACGUCUAUCGAUUAUAUUGCUGCUACAUCAAAUGCCCAAAUCUACUGUGUUCGAUCAAGAUUUCUCAGUGCUUUUUGGCAUGAGCAUUUCACUUUGCAGGGAAGUAAAUUUUGCAUGAGCCCAUCUCACCAUCCAGGUGCUAAGUCGAAGCUUUGAAACUUUUCUUAAAUGUUAUGUGGGCAAGCAACCUAAGAAAUGGUACCAAUUUUUGCCAUAGGCAGAGUGGACCUACCAUACCUCACAUCAUUCAUCAAUAAAUAUCACUCCUUUUGAGGCUCUCUACAGUAGACCACCUUAGACAAUUCCAUCUUACAUCAUCGGAUAAUCUUCAGCAGAUGUUGUGCAUGUGGAUUUAGUUUUGCGGGAUGAAUAAAUGAGAGUUCUUAAAAAGCACCAUAGUGCGGCACAAAAUCGUAUGAAGCAGAUUUAUGACAACAAGCAUCAGGAGCACGAGUUUGAGAUUGGAUAUUGGGUGCUCCUGUGACUUCCCCCAAACCAACAGUUGAGCAUUUGUUAGCAGAGAUUGAGGAAGAUUUCUUCUAAAUUUUACCCUUUCAAAUUAUCAACAAAAUGGCAAAGUAGCUUAUUGAUUGGAACAUCCUUCCAUUGCAACUAUUCACAAUGUUUUCCAUGUUUCAAAACAGAAGCCAUACAAUAGAGAACCCGAUGCUACUACCAAACUUCUCGUCGAACUAGAGAAGAAUAUGUUGAUUCCAACAAACAUUUUGGCCAAGCAAUGCCGUCGAGUCGAUAGGAGAAUGAAGACGGAGUAAGAUGGAACAAGCGACCGCGAGAUGAAGCUAUGUGGGAGGAAGAAGAUGAAAUGAAUUGUUACAAUCACCUAUUCGUAUUAGAAUUAGGGUUUCAUUUGAAUUUCUUCUUUCUUUAGGAUUAUUACAAAUUAUUUAUCUUGAUUCGCAUGAGAUUAGCACUCCUACUCAAAUUAGAGUUUCUAGAUGCUUUUGGCUAAGCUCAACUUUUAGUUUUCGUCAAUUAAUUUGAUCAAUAAAAGAAAAGUGAAGAUUUUUACCUCACUUGUUCUCUUCUCCGAUAAAGAAGAAACUUCUACCAUGAAGGUGAGAAUUUAGACACCUCAAAAGCCAUGUAUCAAUACUAUAUUUAGACAUUAAAUAUGAUGGUAAUUAACAAGCUACUGAUGUCAUGGAUCCAACUUGUGCUGGUCGUAUUGCCAUAUGUCGAGAAUAAAUGUAAAUAAUGGACAACGUGACAUGAAUCAAGUUCUCUUUAUCAUAAUGCCAUCUCAUGCUUAUCAAUGCCACUAAAUAUAUGGCUUGAAUUUUUUUUCCGUGGAGAGUGAGAAAUCCAAGUACUAUUAUACUUUUUCCCACCUUGAUAGGCAUUAAUUAGAGUUACUAGCAUAACACUAGUAGCCACCCUUUUUGUUUCCUCCUUAAAUCUAGAAAUUCAUAUAAAAGAAGUUUGUCAGUUCGGGUGCCAUUAGAGGCCAAGCAUUUGCAUGGCUGCAAGAACGAGAAGAAUAAAAGAAAAACAAUCACAACUUUAACCAUUUAGUAACUCAAGAUAUUUUGAAGGUCGAGCCCCUUUCUUUCUUAUAUCGAAUAGAAAUUUAAUUUUGCAUAUUGAACUGGCUUGUGAUUCUAGGGAUUUUCAUGCACGGUUUUGGGUAUGAUAUGAUCAUAUUGGCUUUGUCUCUAUGACACAAUCAUGGUGAAAAAUUUUUAAAUCAUGUCUUUCUUCUAUAAGGCACAUGAAUGAUUUGUUAAACUUUAUUAGAAACUAAGAUCGUACCUUCUGCCAUGAUUUCGAUUUCAAUACCCGGAUUAUUGACGAUGGCCCUUACUUGUGGUUCGUCCUCGUUCGUGAUUUGCAAGAAAACGAGACAUUUCGAGUCUAAUUCCCUUAUCACCGGAGAUAGAGCCGUCACAGAAAAUUAGAUUAGGGUUAGAUCGGGACUCCCGUAUGUUACAUAUUUAUAUAUAACUUGAUGUUAGGAUGCUAAAUCACGUUCGUCCAUCAAGAACAUGUCCAAAUACAUCACAACCGUUCGAUCUACCGUAUUUUAAUGGAUCGACUUAAAUAGACCGAUUGUAUCCUUGUAAAUCGCCUUGAAUAAAUAACGUAGACCACAUCCAAUUCUCCCACUUGGACGGGUGAUAUAGUCAUAUCGUAUAGGCCAUACAAAACUUUAUUAGGUACCAACUAAAUUAUACAGCCGAAAUCUCCCACUCGAUCAAGAAUCACAAUACUCUGAUCAUAGCGAUUAUGUCCAAACAGAUGAACAUUCCCUUCCAUGUAUCAAAAGCACGUAUUCCUUAAUCAAAUAACUUUAUAAGUUACAACCGUAUGAACUUAGGAUAAGUUCAACUCAGAGUCCUACUUUAGUACACAAUAAUACUUUAAUGUACAAAAAGUAACUUUAUGCGCAUAUGUGCAAAAACCAAAAUAUGUUCUUACUCAAAUAAAAAUAGUUUUUAGAGUCUUUACUUCUUUAUACAAGAAAAAAACUGUAAGGACUGAAAAUUUGACAGUGUAGCUAAACUCUCUGUUGACGAUAUUUAUGUGUGUAAUUUAAUUACAUAAGCACUCGUCAAGUUUCAGGAGAAAACGAGUUAGAAUGGAGAAGUUAUGCGACCUUUACUAAUCGCUGAAAGUGAAUAGUAACUUCGAUUUUUCGAAGAGGCCAAUCAGUGGAGAUGGCUUCUGGUGCGUAUUGGACUCCGUUCAUUGUGGUCCAAUAGCUCGUUUUCAACGGUUCGACUGUCCUAGAUCCAAUGGCGCUGACGGAUUUCAAGUUUGACGCACGAAUUUCGAGAAAACUGUAUACACAUAUAUUCUUUGUAUUUGUGUGUGGUUUUGCAUAUUGGAGAGGACCCGGAUCUGAGCCCUUGCGGACUCGCGUUGUACCGCCACCACCGCCGACAGGCGCGAGCCCCGGCCUCCCCUGGUCGGCCAGACCCGACUGCUGCCAGCGCUCCCGCCGCCAGAGCCCCUGCCGGUCAGAAAUAAGCCAUGCUCUCCAUGGGUACCUACAGCUAGGGCAUCAAUGCCCGCCGCCUCCCGUCGCCAGCCGAUGCGCGCCCUGGCAUCCCUACAUCGCCCGAACCAUCCUGCCGCCGGUGCGCCGGCCACCGAGCCGCCGACGCUCGUACCCUAGCUCCCCUCGGCCCGGUAAGCUUUAUUAAGCUAGUCUACGCACUGUUUCCUGUUCCGAUGUCACGCUCGGGCCGAGCGGAAGCCCGCCCGACACGUGCACAGACCCGCCGUGUAUACCAAUUACCAAACCUCCCCGAUAUUCCAGGGUAAUCCAGGGGAGGUCAUGUCCGUUCGGCGUCUGUUUGACGCGCCCGGCUGGUGUAAGUACUUACCAUAGCAGCCGCUACUGUCCAGUGAGGGCUUCGCCCGCCCCUUCGGUCGCGUCGGCUCCGGCGACUCCGACGCAUUAUGGAGUCCCACCUGCGGCGUCAUCGGCUGGACGUGCGAUGGUACCACGCCAACCUGAGGCAACAAGAUCGGCUCCGAGCGGGCGGGCGUUCGCCGCCCAAACUCAAGCCGAGGAACCUGCUGAGGCAGAAGACCGCCAUGUACUCGCAGGUAUGGUUUUAAUUAACGGAGUUCGCUCCAGGGCCAUGUUUGAUACAGGUGCUACGCAUUCAUUCAUCAGUAGGUCAUUUGCACGUAUGCAUGACAUAGAACUACAAGAGAGUAAAAGCACUUGGAGAGUAUCGGGCCCCGGACAUGAUUUUCUAGUCCGUAAGGAGUGUUCGUCUUGUCCAGUGCGGUUGGGCGAUUGGAUAAUGCCCAUCCGUAUGUUGGUGCUUAAAAAGUUGAAGGACUUUGACGUCAUUCUAGGAAUGGAUUGGCUCUCGAAGUACUAUGCGACUAUUCACUGUAGAAGUAAAGUGAUUACGUUUAGCGAACCGGGCCAAGAAGAGUUCGUCUACCGGCUUGUAGAAGCUCGCGCUUCGCUGCUAUGGUGUCGGCAACGAGGGCAAGGAAGUUAAUCAACAGCGGUUGUAUGGCCUAUUUGGCGACCGUUGUGGAAGUCGAGAGAACGACUCCUACGCUUGAGGAGUUAUCCGUGGUUCGGGAAUUUCCGGAUGUAUUUCCCGCGGAGUUACUUGGAAUGCCGCCAGACCGUAAGAUCGAGUUCGUGAUAGACUUGGUUCCAGGAACCGCGCCUAUCUCGAAGGCUCCGUAUCGGAUGGCGUCGGCGGAAUUGAAGGAGUUACGGGCUCAAUUGAUAGAUCUCCUUGAUAAAGGAUUUGUACGGCCAAGUGUGUCACCGUGGGGAGCUCCGGUUCUAUUCGUGCGAAAGAAGGAUGGAUCAUUUCGACUCUGCGUAGACUAUCGCGAGUUGAACAAAGUCACGAUCAAGAAUAAGUACCCGUUGCCUUGGAUCGAUGAUUUAUUUGAUCAGUUGCAAGGAUUUCGGAUUUAUUCAAAGAUUGAUCUACAGUCCGGUUAUCAUCAACUUAAGAUCAAGCCGGAAGAUGUGCAAAAGACCGCGUUUCGCACGCGGUAUGGAGAUUAUGAAUUCACGAUCAUGCCGUUUGGGCUCACUAACGCCCCGGCAGCAUUCAUGGAUUUAAUGAACCGUGUCUUCAAGGAGUACUUGGACCAAUUUGUCGUGGUCUUCAUAGACGACAUCUUGGUCUACUCGCGUAGCGACGAGGAACAUGCCGAGCAUCUGAUAAUCGUGCUUCAAAUCCUUCGGGAGGAGAAGUUGUAUGCUAAGUUUAAGAAAUGCGACUUUUGGCUUCGAGAGGUUGCAUUUCUUGGGCAUGUCAUUUCCGAUGGAGGAGUAUCUGUUGACCCGAGGAAAGUGGAGGCGAUCAAGGAUUGGCCUCGCCCGACUAACGUCACGGAAGUUCGAAGCUUCGUGGGUUUAGCGGGUUAUUAUAGACGGUUCGUGGAGGGAUUCUCGAAGAUCGUGGGUCCACUUACCCGUCUGACUCGGAAAGGCACCAAAUUCAUUUGGAGUGACGAGUGUGACCGGAGUUUUCAAGAGUUGAAGGAUAGAUUGACUUCGACUCCGGUGCUCGCCUUACCGGUGCAAGAUGAAGACUUCGUGGUGUAUAGCGACGCGUCACAAUCGGGCUUAGGGUGUGUUCUGAUGCAGGGCGGGAAGGUGAUCGCUUAUGCGUCCCGUCAGCUGAAAAGCUAUAAGAAGAAUUACCCUGUCCACGACUUGGAGUUGGCCGCGGUAGUGUUUGCCCUCAAGUUAUGGAGGCACUACUUGUAUCGCGCGCGUUGCGAGAUAUACACGGACCAUAAGAGUCUAAAGUACCUUUUCACACAAAAGGAGCUUAAUAUGCAACAGCGGCGGUGGUUGGAAUUGCUAAAGGAUUUCAAUAUUACAAUCCUAUACCACCCCGGAAAAGCAAACGUUGUGGCCGACGCGCUUAGCAGGAAGUCAGUGGAGAAUCUUGCUAUGUUGGUUACACGUCAAGAACCACUGUGGAGAGAGAUGGAACGACUGGAUCUCGAAGUGGUAGCUCCGGAAAUCCCGUCUAUGUUUACGGCUCUCAUUGUCCAACAGACCUUGUUGGAGCAGAUUAAGAGUUUGCAACCUGCGGACCCCAAUCUCCAAAAGGUGCGGCGAGGCAUCGAGAGUGGACACGGCGGUGAUUUCAGUAUAGACGCUGAUGGUGCGCUUCGGUUUCGAAACCGAUGGUGCGCACCGGAAAACGAGGAGGUCCGGAAGUUAAUCUUACAAGAAGCACAUCGGACUCUUUAUAGUAUUCACCCGGGCGGCACCAAGAUGUACCAUGAUCUGAAGAUGCAGUACUAGUGGCCGGGCAUGAAAGCGGAUAUUGGGCGCUAUGUAGCGCAGUGCUUGGUAUGCCAGCAAGUGAAGGCUGAGCGCCAAUUUCCAGCGGAAAGCCUGCAAAGUUUACCUAUUCCCGUUUGGAAAUGGGAGAACAUAGCUAUGGACUUCGUGGUCGAAUUGCCCCGUUCAACGGGUGGCCAUGACGCGAUCUGGGUGAUUGUGGAUCGUAUGACCAAGUCGGCACAUUUUCUACUGAUUCACACCACCUGGUCGGGCGACAGAUUGGCGCAGAUAUACUUGGAUGAAGUUGUGAGGUUGCACGGGGUUCCGAAGUCGAUCAUGUCAGAUCGAGACCCCCGUUUUACUUCGCACUUUUGGAAAAACCUGCAAGAAGCACUUGGCACACGGCUCGAUUUCAGCACCGCGUUUCAUCCUCAGACAGAUAGACAGCCAGAGAGGACUAUACAGAUUCUGGAGGAUAUAUUGCGGGCGUGUGUCAUUGACUACAAGAGUAGUUGGGCAAACCAUUUGAGGAUGGCCGAGUUCGCCUACAAUAACAGUUAUCAAGCUAGCAUUGGGAUGGCACCGUUCGAGGUCCUAUAUGGGCGGAAGUGCCGAUCCCCUAAAUGUUAGAGCGAUGUAGGUGAACCCGCGACAUUGGGCCCAGACGUAUUGCGGGAGGCGGAAGAGAAGGUCCGUCUCGCUCGCGAAAGGCUACUUACGGCACAGUCGAGGCAAAAGAGCUAUUCUGACAAACGCCGUAGAGACUUGGAAUUCGCGGUAGGUGUAAGGAAGUGAAUCCUCGAAAUCCGAGGAUUAGACUUCCUUUGGAAUCGACUGUUUGUCGAGUGUGUAGGCUUCGGAAAGUCCGAAGGUGAUUAUAAUGCCUAAAGCGCAUUAAGGAAAGGUCCACGGGAGCACCAGAGCGAAAUCUGCACUGGAGCAGAAAUGCUCUCGGGGACCGGUCCCUGGUAGGGAGGGACCGGUCCCAUCAGACUGGGCUGCAGGGGUCUUUGAUGAGACCGGUCCCUGGCAGUGAAGGACCGGUCCCCGAACGUUGGCCCAGCGAAAAUAGCCGAGAUUUGGCUGUCCCGAAAACUCCAACUCUCGGGAAUCAGUCUCUCGGACAAGGACCGGUCUCCCGGGGACCGGUCUCCCGGGGACCGGCCUCUCAGGCAAGGACCGGUUCCCGAACGCGAAAUCCCUCUGCCCGAGAUGGAAUGCUCUCGGGGACCGGUCUCCCCGAGCUGGGACCGGUCCCUCACUGCGAAAAUGCCCAGAGAGGGCUGGUUUAGAAGGUAAAAAGUUGAGGGGGCUAUCUGCAAAAUGGCCUUUAUUAGAGGCUGGGGGACCUCUUUUCUCCUCUCAUUUGCUCUCUAUCUCUCUCUCACACUCUUUCCCUCUCUCUCUCUAGAAAGAAAAGAAAGAGAAGAAGAAUGAGAGGAAAGAAAGGAAGGAAAAGAAGAAGUGGAAGGAGAAGACCAAGAAAAAGAUCUUCUUCCCUCUCCCCUUCAAGCUAGAGCAAGCUUGGAACUUGGUUUAGAGGUAAGCUCUAAACCCUCUAAUGGUAUUUCUAGGGUUUGGGAUUUUUAUGGCUUAGAGAUGGUUCGAAUGGAACCUAGAGGAGAUGAAUAGAUGGUUCGAGCUCGCAUUUGGAGCUCGCACCACGGAUUUCCUCACCGUUGCUAACCUAGGGCACGAAUUUGGAAUUUUUGGAAAUCUAGGGUUUUAAUCUAUUUUAAUAGGUCGUAAACCAAAUUGCUAGGUCUCGGAACGCGUCGGCGAAGACGGUUCGUCGAUCCGACGAGCGAGUGCGGAGUUAUCGCCAAAACGAGUACUUGAGGGCUCGCUUCGCCCCGAGGAGUUGAAGCGACGUGCAAAGACCGCAGAGUCGAGUUUUCUACCGUCACGGCAUCACCAAGAGGUGGGUCGUGUCCAUCCCGAAGUAAUCGGGCUCCCUUUUAUGUCUUAGUAUUUCGAGAUCUUGCAUCCUGUGUUCACAUGCAUUGUAGGAUAGUGUGCAUUGUCUUUCCUUAUGCUUUCCUAGCUUAUAUCAUGUUAUGCAUUAGUUGCUGGAUAUAGGGGAUUGAUGAGGAUUGGGUCGAGACUUGUAAUCCUAUAGUGCAGCGGUGAAAGAAUGAUGCAAUAGCUGAAAUAAAGAACGAGUGGCAUCUAGUUGUUAUUAAACAAAAGAACGAGUGGCAUCUAGUUGUUAAUAACAAAAGAACGAGUGGCAUCUAGUUGUUAAUAACCAAAGAACGAGUGGCAUGUGUGAGUUGUAGCGUAUAUGAAACCCAUUGACUAUGGUGACAGUAACCCUAGAGGAUAGGGCACCCUUGAGGCGGGAGAAUUGGAUCAUACUCAUUGUCUGCUCCCAACUUGUGAUGGUCGCUCCACACAAGUAGUGCGCUCCAGAGUCGGUCACGAGGGAUAGCCUAUGUGGGGUCCCGUGGGAUAGGGAUAGCCUAUUUGGGGUUCCUAGGGAUAGCCUAUUUUGAGAAAAAUGAUAGAGUAGUUGCAGUUCAUUUUCUACAUAUAUAUCUAUCUCUCUCUAUCUGUGCCAGCUUAAACCUAGUGGGAAAACCGGCGGCGUCGGCGGCCGAACCCACUGGGAACUAUAUUCAUAUAGUUCUCACCCCGUGUGGUUUUGGGGUACAGGUACACACAGAGGCGAGCCGAGCGAGGAUCGCGGCAAAGGCAUAGCGCCCUAAGUAAGCCUAGUUAGUAGCUUU
rnacentral:lncRNA from 1 species